rnacentral:lncRNA from 1 species
UUUUUUUUUAAAGUAGAGAGGAGGGUUGCAUAAGCUUUUGCAGUUUGCAUGAUUGCAUAAUAUGCUGAACAAUGGCAUUGCUGGUAAAUGUGCAGAGGGGUAUGUGCUUUAGGUUCAUGCAUCUGAGAGCAUGCAUUUCCACCGGCUAAAAUAAGGAAUCACUUUGAUUUCCUGGAAUGUAGGGGAGAAAAUCCAUCAACAUUUCCCACCAAGUGGAUGCAUGCAUUUGCAUUUCUUUUUCCCUGUCCGCACAUGCACGUCUGACCAAACGGCUGCAGUUCUUCGCGCAAUUUGCAGUCGGCAGCAUGAUGCUGGACCUAGCUCAUACAUGCCUUGUUGAUCGCCGUGCAGUGAAGGCUGCAUCCCUGCUCUGCCAUUUGAAUAUUUUUCUUUUGUGAGCAGCGUAUCAUGUCGUUGCAUGCACACUGAUAGUUGCUUUCACACAAGAUAGUUUCAAGAGAUAUUGUAAACAAGGAUCGCUAGCUCUUUCUAACCACUGAUCUCAGCAGCAGACGCAACUGGGGGGUAGGAUAUGCGUCCCAGUCCUCUGACCUAAUUCCCUUCACAUUUGUUCUUGUUCAGUUACGAAAUGGACAAAUCUUUUGUAUAAACCUCCCUGUCAAUUCAGGUAGUCAUCCGUACGUAACUUGAGCCGCAAAAGAAGAGCUACACACUAGCAGCAUAGCAGCAGGACAAAUGGACAACCGCUGUUCUUCUGCACUCGUGUUCUCAUGUACGUUGCCAUCAGUUCAUCUGGUUCUGGUCAACUCAUCCUGCAAUUUUCUAUGCUUUCAGCAGAGUACAGAGGUUGCAAGGCAUCCAUCAGUUGGCUUGUUAAUUAGUGCUGACAUUGGCCCAAUCGGGAGGCGGUGUAGUAGCAUAUAUCUUGCCGUGUUGACCUGUCACAGAUUGGUGCAGGGGAUGGUAUAUAGAAUAGGGCCUGGUUUGGUUCCUCUAACUUAUUUUUAGCACCCGUCACAUCGAAUGUUUAGAUACUAAUUAGGAGUAUUAAAUGUAGACUAUUUACAAAACUCAUUACAUAAGUGGAGGCUAAACGGCGAGACGAAUCUAUUAAACCUAAUUAGUCCAUGAUUUGACAAUGUGUUGCUACUAAACAUUUGCUAAUGAUGGAUUAACUAGACUUAAUAGAUUCGUCUCGCCGUUUAGCCUCCACUUAUGUAAUGGGUUUUGUAAAUAGUCUACGUUUAAUACUUCUAAUUAGUAUCUAAACAUUUGAUGUGACACAUGCUAAAAAUAAUCAAAGGAACCAAAUAAACUGCCAAAGAAAGGGGAUCUUGCGCCUUGCUAGUAUGAGAAAUUGGACAAUUGGUGGCAAGUGAUGAUGUCGCCGGGCGCGGACUCUGAGGAAGACCAUCACGCACGCUAUCCAAUCGAAUACAGACACUUCACAAGUCAGCGAAUCGGCAAAUGCAUUUUCAUUGUGUCUGACCUUGUGUCCAAAGGUAUCGUAUCGCCCAUUUGAAUACAAGAUGAUGAGCUCAUUUUCUUGGACGCUGAAGAAGAAAUUCGGGCAGAAAUUUCAAACACCCGCGAAGAAACUUGGAACAAUAUCCAUAGUAAAAUAAAAGGAGCGUAGUAAGCUGUCGUGGAUAUACAUAAUAAGCCGUCGUUAUCUGAUGAUGUUGGGAAGGAAGAAUCGACGAACUCGGAGGCGCAUGCCUGGGAAGAAGUUUCAGCCGACUUGCGCCGUUGCCACACGGGCACAGCCUCCCUGCAUGAAAAACGAAACGAAGUGAAUUGAUUGAUUUCACGCGGCAUGGUCGUCGCUUGCCCCGCAUGGAUCGCCUCCUGCUGCCCUGUCGUCACGGACGGAGCUGUGGCAUGUGGGUGCCGCUGCCGCAUCGAUUUGUUGCUUUCGGGGAUCAAGUUCGUGGAAGAGGGGUGCGUCGUUAGUCAAGGACCCGAUCGAGAUGCAUGGACGGAUGAUCUGCCCAUCUUGUGCUUCAACGAUGUUCUUGUGUUGUGCAGAGUCCAGACUAGAGCUAGUCAAGGUUCAAGGAGCUAGCCUACCUGCUGCCAAUAAUUGUCAGUCCAUCUCCAGAAACAGUGUACUGUACCUGUACUUUCGUGUAUAUGACGCGUUGACCUAUGUGUUGCUGAAGGAUCGGGACGAGCGACCAGAGAGCAGAGGAGGGUGAAUGGGAGCCUUUAAAAAUUUUCUCCGAGGAUAAGAUCUAUGUCCCAAAACAUCAAGAAGCCUCUCUUCUUUCAAUUGUCAAAAUCACGUAAUUGUAGAAGACCUAGUGACCCUAGGAAUGAUGCUAGGAUAGCCUAGAAGCAAUGCGGAAGCAAAGGCAAAAGAUCCAAGGCAAAAUGAGACUUAAGCACCUGGUCUGCCAGGAUUUGUCGGAUAUUCCGGCACCCUAUCAUACUCCGGUACUGGGUCUAUCGAAUACUUCGACACCGUAUCGGAUACUCCGGUACUUGGUCUAUCAGAUAUUCUGGCACCUUAUCGGAUACUCUGAUACUAGGACCAUCGGAUACUCCGACACCUUGUCGGAUACUCCAGCAAAGGGUUGACAACCUCCCAGGAUUGAAUUUAUCGGAAUUUCUAGCACCCUACCGGAAAUUCUAGCACCUUCCAGUAGAACAUAAAACCUAGCCCGAAACUCAAGUCAACGCUCCAAAAUCCAUCCAAACAAUCUCCAAAUCACACAAAAUUUUAACAAUAGCUUCACACACAUAAGAAGAGCCUUUGCUCAAAAGAUCUCCUCAAAAAGAUCAAGAAUUUAUCAUAGAUUUUGUGGAUUCGGGGGGAAACUAGAAAAGGGAUGAAGAACUCAAGAAGAACCUCAAAGAUCCAAUCUUGGAAGACCAAUCAAACGCGAUCCAAAUCCUACAAGAUCAUAGCUAUAGCUGCACAUACAUGUGGGGAAUCUUUGCACAAAAGAUCUUCACAAGAGGAGUUUUUCACCCUCGAUUUCAUUGAUUUGGCCAAGAACACUUUGUAUGGAUUUGCUAGGAUCAUUCUAGAUGUUCUUGCACAUGUCCCAUCACCAAGUUCCCCAAGAAUUCCUCCCAAAAACACAGCCAAACUCAAGAUCGAAAAAAUCCUCCAAAAAUAGCUCCGAAAAUAAGGAAAAAAAGGGUAAAUUUCAUAUCUUGAUAGGAUGGAACAAGCGAGCACGAAUUUGAUCUUUGGAUUACUUCACCAAAUCCAGUUACAAGCUACUUCUAGCAAAAUCAAAGCUUUGGAUGGCAAAAAGAUCAAAUCAAAGAUCCCUCAUCUCUCUCCUCUUUCCCUACCAAAGGCUCUCACACCACGAAUAAGAAGCUCACCCCAAAGAGAUCCAAGAUAUGGCUGUUCCAAAUAUAUAUAUAUAUAUAUAUAUAUAUAUAUAUAUAUAUAUAUAGAGAGAGAGAGAGAGAGAGAGAGAGGGGUAGCAAAACCGUCCAACUUUUUAUCGAUACAUCGGACGGAUCCGAUGCUUUCACGACUUCAGUUUGUCUCGAUGCAAGCUUCGCGCUGGUGUCACACAUCCUCCAACUCGAUGCCGUCCAGCCGCCCCGGACUCACCCCCGGUUUUGAGGCCAAACCAGUCAAACCCUCUUGCACACCCCGCCAGGUGUGACUCACUCCCGUUUUGAGGCUAAACUGGUCAAACCCUUUUGCACACUCUGCAAGCGUGACUCACCCCUAGUUUUGAGGUCAAAUCAGUCAAACCCUCUUGCACACCCCGUAUGCAUGACUCACCCUCGGUUUUGAGGCCAAACCGGUCAAACCCUCCUGCACGCUGCACACAACGUGACUCACCGAAGUCGACGCUUGUCCGACCUCCGCGAAGCCUUUGACGCAUCCAAAUCUUUUGCUCCUGCUCCCGGACCGUCUACUUGACUCGCCUCUAUCCCACUUGACUCGACCGACACCGUCUUCAUCCCAGUGUACUCUUGCUCUUCCGUGCACCAUGUGGAUCACUUAUGAUUCCACCCGGACUCCUCGGAUCCCUCAGUCCAAGCCUACUCGUAUCCACCCUUCAUAGCUUCGGCAUGAACCUUUCGCUUCACCUUCACCUCGUGACGUCGACUGUCGUGUCGCAUUCAACACUUGCACAUCACAAGCUAAGAGACACAAUGUAAAACAUAUGUCUUACACACACCACAACACAACGCACACGACACAACACAUCCGGUUAGCCAUUAGUAUAAUCAAACACAUAUGAAAUAUUGACUCAACCGGAAAAGCCUCGAAUCAUCCGAUGAAUCACUCAUCAUAAAUAGACCAAGGCACAUCUCAACUUGAUCUCUCACUCACAUAUUGAUGAUGCAGGCCGGGGAUAAAAUAGAUGGUGGAUUAAAGAGAAGUGUUUCGAUCGGUUGGAGAAACUGGAGGCAAGUGAUGUCGCCUGCAUGGACUCUGAUGAGGACGAAGAUCACGUACGCUAUCCAAUCGAGUGCAGACAGUGCAGUACAAGUCAACGAAUCUGGAAGAGAGUUGUUUUUAUUUAUUUAGCCCUUGUCUAGUUCACCCCCAACUCCCAACUUUGACACUAUGCAAAAGGAAGAUUCCCCAUCACAUCAAACUUGCGGUACAUGCAUGGAGUACUAAAUGUAGACAAAAUUAAAAACUAAUUACACAGUUUUGUUGUACUUUGCGAGAUGAAUCUUUUGAGCCUAAUUAGUCAAUGUUUGGAUAAUAAUUUAUAAAUACAAAGGAAACGCUACAGUGUACUAUAGUGCUGUAACAGUAAUUUGGCACCUCCAAACUUUGGCAACUAAACAAGGCCUUAUUUUUAAAUGAUGGAAGAGGCUUUGGGCCCUCGUGUCCAAAGACCCGUAUCGCUCAUCUGAAUGCGCGCAGGAUCAUCGGCUCGGUUCCUUUUACGCUGAAGAAGAAGAAAUUCAGGCAAGUUAACAAUGCACCCGGCCGGAAGAGACUUCAUACGAUAUUCAGAUGAGAGCAGAGUAAAACAGUGACGUCCUUUCAGCAACACUCAUGGAGUCAUGGGUAUAACAAUAAGUUGUAGUAGUACAUCCUUAUCAGUUCAUGAUCGGAAGGAAGAAACACCAUGUCAGCAUCCGUCGCCGGCGCCGGCAUAGUGGUCGUGGGUGGGCAAGGGACGGCGACUACUGCAGCAGGGAGUGAUGGACUGGAUGGUCUCCGGGGUUAUCAUAUCCGUCCGAUCGAUCUCCCAUCUCCCGAGUCAAGGGCUGGAGCGAGAUGCAUGGAUGGAGGUGGAAUGAGAUCUUCUAACUUUACCUCCUCUAACUUUGAGUCAUUAGAUCCAAAUGCAACGAGUUCUGUAUGACGUGACAGGUUAAAAGUUAGAGGAUCUGUUUCCGAUAGGGUGAUUUGCCCAUCUGGCCGGUGCGUCAGCGAUAGUUCUUCUUGAUCUAAAGCUAGUCAAGGUUCGAGGAGCCUACCAUCAGCAGGAGGGAGGAGGGCCAGGUAGCUGGUGACAAUUACUGAGACAGGACUGGGGGUCUCCUGGCCGGCCUCAGGGUCGUCGUCGGGCCGGUGACUUCGACGCCCAUGGCGAGUCAAAGGUCGCCUCCUCCAUCGGUGCAGUGACGUAGCAUGGCCAUCCACUCCCCAUUGCCGCAGCUUCCGGAUCAGGAUUCUUCCUCGAAACUCCCUGCACGCACCGGUCGGUUUCCGUUCUGGGUACGCGUAGCUUUGACAGUCAUGAAUGAGCACCAACUGAUGAUGAUGAUGAUAAUGAUGGGGGGAGGUGCAUAUAUAAUUAUUAUGUACGUGGGCUAGGCCUCUUUCGGCCUCCAUGGCCUUGGGCUGGGCUGCUGCUACGCUUCUGCCCGCUCCCCCAUCCCAUCCAUAUGAUGAUGGCUUCCCGGCCCGUAUCCAAACAGCCCAUGUCUUCCCCUCCCAUCAACAAUAGGCCUCGGAAGUGGAAGGCCAGAGGAGGCCGAACUUUCCACCUCCGCUUCCGACUCCACCUCCGCUUCCGACUCGAAGUCAGCCAACACGAUGACACGAUCGACUAUAAAAUAAAAUGCAUCUAUCCCUACAACCCCACAUCUCCCAGCAGGGCUCUCCGCCGGAAGCAAGAACGUACGCCCCCUACAGAUUCUAGCAGCGAGCAUCUUCGACUUCAGGUACGUCCAACUGUUCGAUUUUUUUGCCUGCCUUCUACAACUUCUAGCAGUCUCGUUCGUAUUCAUGGUGUCGGUUGAUGAUCUCUAUAGCGUAUAUAUCGGUGUUGUUCCGGUAGGGUUACGGGAUUAUUUUGGAUGGAAUUUGUGGCUCAUCUCAUAUGAUUUGGUUAGAUCUUAUGAUCUGUUGGCCAGCCUUUAGUUUGUGACUGUAGAUUUUUCCUUCUUCCUUCUGCUACCUGCUUGAAUUGUUGGCCUUUUUGGGUAGCUAUUGAUGAUUGCUCUAUAGCCUAAUAAACAAAAGCAAGACGAAAACAUCGGCUAUUAAUCUUUUUCUUAAGGAAAGGCUGCUAUUAAUUUUAGUUGCUGCUGGUUGAUAUUAACGGCUGCAUAUUCUGUUUUCCGAUUAGAUCGAUUCAUUAUAUUCUAGCAGUGUUAGGUUCUUCAUGGCUGGUUUGGCAUUCGCCUGCCCUGAUGCAUGGUUCUACUCCAGUAUUUCGGCAAGUUGAGAACUGCACACUCACUUAUCUCGUCAAUGUACAGAACUGAGUGAACCAUGUUAUUUUAAUGAUUGCUCAAGACUUAACUUUGUAUCCUAGGCUUGAUGUUUUCUAUAAGCAACGAAAUUACAUUGUAGAUUUCUACUCUUGCUUCUACUGUUUUUUAGAUAGCUGGUUCUUGCUUCUGCCACAUGUUGGAAUCGUUGUAUAGCCUAAAUAAUUAAAAGCUGGAUUAAAGUAUUUUUGUCUACAGUAAAAAAUAAUUGUUGGUGAUGUUUGGUGUGCUAGUUCAGAAUGCAGAUCUUUGUGAGGACCCCCACCGGGACGACGAUUUGCCUCAGUGUCCAACCAUCAGAUACCUUGUAUGCCGUUAAGCAAAAGAUAUUGGAACGCCACCACCUUGCCUUUGAUGGAGUGCUGCUGGAGGAUAACCUUACAUUGGCUGAUUAUAACAUCGAACAUCAAUCCACGCUCGACCUCCAAGAAAAGAUGCAAAUCUAUGUAAGGGAGACACUAAAUGGCAUGACUUUCAUUCUUGAGGUUGAUAGCUUAGAUACUAUCGAUAGCAUAAAGGACAAGAUUGAAGAUACCGAGGGGUUUCCCAAGAGCCUGCAGUGCCUCAUCUUUGCCAACAAACAGCUGGAGGGCAAGCGCACCCUGGCGGACCACAACAUCUGCAAGGACUCCACCCUUCUCCUCGUCCUCCACCCAUGCCCGAGAGGCACGAUGCAGAUUUUUGUGAAGAUGCUAGAUGGAAAGACCCCCACUUUUCAGGUCGAGAGAUCGUAUACCGUCAGCUAUGUCAAGAUGAAGAUCUAUGAGAUGGAGGGCAUCCGCCCCAUACAGCAACGCCUCAUCUUUGCCGGCCAGCAACUGCAGGGCAGGCGCACCCUGGCGGACUAUAACAUUCAGAAGGAGUGUACCCUCCAUCUGGUACUCUGCCUUUGUGGUUGUUGACGAGACUGAUGCCAUGCAAGGUCAUCCAACAACGAGAGUUCUUUUGCUGAAGUACGUCAUGUUUCUUUCUUUCUACUAGCGGCGUGUUAUCAGUAAAACGAUCAUCAAUUAUAGGCCAUCAGUUUGCUAAGGUCUUUUUCAUUUGCAAGUAGCGUUUUGUGUUAUCAUCAGUAAAAUUUUCGUUUGUGGUAACGUUAAUGUCUGAGAUCUUAGCAUAGUUGAUUCAGAAAUACAGUCAACAGCUUCAACUUGUGAUUACGUGUUCGCAAGCAUCACGUCACGCGUCACUUCAAUACCCGGUUGGCUUCUUGUCUCUGUCACGGCAGCCUCUCGGUUGAUUUUAAGAGUGCGUUUGGUUCGAGGCUUGAGGUGGGUUGGAACAGGUUGAAUUUAGAUGGAUCCAUAUUUGGUUCAGAAAUAAAGUGUGUUGGGUUCAUCCCCACAAGGAAUAUACCCCUCAGAUCCAGAUUGAGACGGUCCGUCCAAAUUGAACGAACCAUCUCGACCUACUUCCCUAUUUCAACAGUGUCGCUCUCCGGCUGGACAAGCUCGAGCCCCGCUCCUGCGGACGGAUGAGCUCGAGCCCCGCCGCCGCCGGCCACCGCGGGCUGAUGCUCGGCCUGGACGGCGGCCGCGACGGCCGGGGAUACAACCCAUACGACGACGCAUCAUCUUUGCCGCUCAGAUACCGUCUGGGAUCUUAUUAGCAUCAGUUGAUUCAGAAAUACAUUCAGCAGCUUCAACUUGUGACUACGUGUUUGCAAGCAUCCAGCGGCCAUUGCGUGCGCUUGUGAAAGAGAGAUAGGGCCUAGGGGAUCAGAUCAGCAGGAGAGGGACGGGCCAGGUAGAUGGUGACAAUGAGACAGGACUGGGGGUCUCAUGAUCUCGGGUCGUCGGCCGUCCACUCCCCAAUGCUGCCGCUUCAGAUCAGUGUUCAAGCUACCGCUUCUUCCAUGAAAAUCCCUGCACGCACCGAUUUCCUCCGUUCGGGUUACGCGUAGCUCGGACAGUCAUGAAUGAGCACCAACUAAUGGGGGCAGAUGCAUAUAUAUAACUUAUAACUACUCAGGUUGACGCACGCCUAUACAAAAGAUGUUAAUCUGAAAUAAUGAUGAGAAACCAUUUUAUUAUCUUAUUGUGCUCAAUCAAAAAAAAACAUAAUAUAGAAUCAAAUCGAUCGCAUCUAAUAUUAAAUUCAAACAAGUUUUUAUCAUAAUAGUCAUUCGAGCACCGUGUAAUUUUUUUCUUAGGAAGUCAUGAGCCUUAGUAGAUAUAGCUAACGGAUUGACGUGCUAUGUUACCCUGAUACUUGGUUUUGAUAGAAAUAAAACAAAUUAAAUUAGCAAUGAAUGAAUAAUUCACUCAUAUUUUGCAAUUUAAUUUGAAGGCAAGGUCAAAAAAUAGUAGGGCUACCAGAGGUGAAGCUAUUAUGCAAAGUUUAAUUAUUAUUUUACACAUAGAAAAAAAUUAAAUAUAUUUAUACUUUCCCUAAAAUGUAAUUGCAAAUAAUAGAAAAAUUGUCAUCGAUAUUUUUUAAAAAAAAUUCAUGAGACCCACUCGAUAGUAUCGUGGAUCCCACUGAAGAGUACGUGGAUCCCAUACAGAUUACUUGAAUAGUUUGUGGAUCCCACAUGGAUUCUUUUAAACAAUACGUGGAUCCCACGUGGUACAUGAGGAGGCACGAAACCUAGGAGCGUACAUGGGCUAGGCCUCCUUCGGCUUCCAUGGCCUUCCCAUCCAUAUUAUGGCUUCCCGGCCCGUAUCUAAACAGCCCAUGUCUCUUCCUCCCGUCAAUAAUGGGCCUCCGAAGUGGAGGCUCAAGUCCGGCCUGCUAUCGCUCGCCGCCGUCCGGACGGAAUCGUCGUCGAUCGAGGAGACCAAAACUUUCCACUUCCGCCCCAAGUCGUCCGUCCACGCUUCCAAUCGAUCUCCCAGCAGGGCGCUCCGCCGGCGGAAGCAACAACGUACGCCCCUGCAGAUUCUAGCAACAAGCAUCUUCGUCGGCUUCAGGUAAGUCGAGCUGUUCAAUUUUUUGCCUCUCUCUCUCUCUCUCUCUACUACUUCUAGCAGUCUCAUUCGUAUUCAUGGCGUCGGUGAUGAUCUCUAUAGCGUAUAUGUCAGUUUUCGUGUAGGGUUACGGGAGUAUCUUGGCUGGAGUUUGUGGCUCAUCACCUCAUAUGAUUGUUGUUGGAUCUUGGGAUCUGUUGGCCAGCCUUUGUGACUGCAGAUUUAUCUUCUUUCUUCUAUUCUGCUACCUGUUUGGAUUGUUGACAUUUUUUGGCUGUUAAUUGCUCUGUAGUAGCCUACACAAAAGCAAGAAGAAAAGCGUAUGCUACUAAUUUUAGUUGCUCGUUGAAACAAGGGCUGCAUAUCCUGUUCUCCAAUCGGGUCGAUGCAUUCUAGCAAAUCUGAAGUGUGAGCUAGCUAGCUUCAGUAAUGCUAGAUUCUUCUUUGCUGAUUCGGCAUUCGCCUGUCCUCGCCGUUGUAUUCCAGUACAAAGUACUCGGCAAAUUGAGAACUACGUAUUCACGCUAUCUCUUCGGUUCGAUGCACAGAACUGAGUGAACCAUGUUAUUCCAAUGAUUGCUCAAGACUUAAACUUUGUAUCCUAGGCUUGGUAUUUUCUAUAAGCGAUGUACAUUACGCAGUAGAUAUCUGCUCUUGCUUCUACUGUUUUUUAGAUAGCUGGUUCUUGGCUUCUUGCUUCUGCCACCUGUUGGAAUUGUUGUAUAUAGCCUAAAUAAUUAAAAUCUGUACUAAAGCAUUCUUUUUGUCUACAUUCAGAAUGCAGAUAUUUGUGAGGAGCCCCACCGGCAGGAUGAUUUGCCUCAGGGUCCAACCAUCACAUACCUUGUAUGCCGUUAAGCAAAAGAUAUUGGAACACCACCACCUUGCAUUUGAUGGAGUGUAGCUGGAGGAUAACCUCACAUUGGCUGAUUAUAACAUCCAGCAUCAAUCCACGCUUGACCUCCAAGAAAAGAUGCAAAUCUAUGUAGCUCAUGGAGACGACUCCUGUGUAGCUGACGCUGGAGUAGAAGAUUUGAGACUUUGGUGAUUUGUAAAUAUAUCACAUGACUCUCCAUAAAGAUAAUACCUCCAAAUCUUUAGAGAAAAAUAAUUGCAGCUAACUCCAAAUCAUGUGUAGAGUAAUUCUGCUCAUGCUUCUUCAAUUGCCUUGAUGCAUAAGCAAUCACUUUACCUUCUUGCAUAAGCACACAACCAAGCCUGAUUCAAGAAGCAUCUGUAUACAAAGUGAAGCGUCUGCCACUCUCAGGUAAUGUCAAUAUAGAAGCAUUCACUAACUUACUCUUCAGAGUUUGGAAACUGGCCUCACACUCUUUAGUCCAUAUGAAUGGAACACCCUUCUUAGUGAGAUUAGUCAUUGGCUUAGCAAUAAUUGAGAAACCUUGCACGAAACGUCGAUAAUAACAUGCAAGCCCAAGGAAGCUCCGAACCUCUGUUACAUUGGUUGGUCUUUGCCAUUCCACCACUGAGGCAACAUAUCUAAUGCCAUGCUGAUUAAUGACAUGACCAAGGAAGCUCACUUAAGAAAGCCAAAAUGCACAUUUCUUCAAUUUUGCAUAGAACUUGUUCUUCUGAAGUGCAUGCAAGACAAGACUGAGAUGAACCUUAUGCUUCUCCUUUGACUUGGAGUAGACUAAGAUAUCAUUGAUGAAUACCACAACAAAAACAUCCAAGUACUCAUGCAACAUCCUUUCAUGGCCUCCAUAAAAACGGCAUGGACAUUUAUUAGUCCAAAAGACAUAACCACAUAAUCAUAAUGCCCAUACCUUAUAUUAAAAGCCAUCUUCUCAAUAUCCUCUUCCUUGAUACAUAGUUGAUGGUAACCACAUUGCAAGUCAAUCUUAGAGAAUACCUUGGCACCUCUCAAUUGAUCAAAGAGAGCAUCAAUACGAGGCAAAGGUUACUUGUUCUUGAUUGUCACUUGAUUAUGUGCUUGAUAAUCAACAAAAAAUCUUUUAGUGCUAUCCUUCUUUUCUACAAACAAGACUGGGGCAACCCAAGGUGACGUGCUUGGUUGGUUAAACCCUUUAGUAAGAAGUUCAUCCAAUUGUUUCUUCAACUCCACCUGCUCCAAAGGAGCCAUCUUGUAUGGUGUCUUAUAUAUAGGUUGCGUUCCAGGAACUAACUCACUACUAGAAACCUUGGCUUUAGUCCCGGUUGGUAGGGGCCAAAUCUCUCUAAAACCAUUCAGGAUAUAAUUUUCGAGACAAAAGGUGGGGGUCCUUUAGUCCCGGGUCAUCCACCCGGGACUAAAGGCCCCGUUUAGUCCCUGUUGGUGCUACCAACCGGGACUAAAAAUUUCAAAAUAAAAAUAAAAAAGCAGCCCACGCCCGUCGGCCGCUGGCCGCACGCCGCCCUGACACUGCUCCGCUCCGGCCUCCGCCCCGGCCCCAGCCUUCGCUCUGCCUCCACUGCUCCGAGCCUGUGCCACCUCUCCGCCCUGGCCUCCGCUCCGAGCCCUCGCCGCUGCCCGCCCUCGUCCCGCUGCCGCUCCUCACUACCAGUAAGGGGCAAGCAGAGGGGGAAGGGGAGGGGCAGCAGGGGGAGGGGGUUGGCACCCGUGCUGGAGGGAGAGGAGGAGGAGGAAGAAGAAAGGGGAAGAUAAGGAGCUGUGCACCGGAGGGAGUCCUGGUCUUCUAAGGAAGAUGAAGAGGAUGCACUGUAGCGCAACCAAUCCGGGGUCCUCCCCGACGGGCCCUCCAUCCAUCGCUCGUAGGGAGUGGCCAAGGGGUUAAUGGGGGAGGAUAAGAAUGCGCCGCCGGGGUGUCGAAGGAGCUUGGUGCCGGAGAAGGAUCUUUUUCUUCAUUGAGCUCGUUCUCAGAUCUGGAUGCACCAGCGGCCGGCCGGGGGGGGGGGGGGGAUGGGGGUGGGAGGUGGGACAUGGCCGGCGCAGGCCUAGAGGGGUUGGGAGGGGAGUGGAUGCUAAGGCCGGAGUGGCCGCCGGCGGGUGGCGUGGUGGGCGCGAGGUCUAGAGAGAGAAACUAGAGAAAUGCCUGUUACUUUCCACUUCCAGUAAGCUCUAUAGAGUAAGUAACAUACAUGGAGUAUUGUACUGUUAGUUUCUUUGUAGUUUAUUCUAAGAUGUUCCAUCCUUCAUUUGAGUAACUAUUUGUCCAUUUGACAAAUUAACCACAUUCAAAAGCUAUACAAGCAGAGGGAGCCGCAUGACAGGCCAUUUGUGAUGUUGCAUUGUUGGGCGUUACUCAAACACCACAGAAGUGGAUCAAUCGGGAUAAUGAUUGUCAUCUACUUAAGAAGAAAGCACAAAAGUCUUUUUCAGAAUUUGAGAAUGAGGGUGAUGACAAUGAUGAUGAUGUGGAGGAGAGUGGCAUUCCAAGAUCGGCAGUGAACCACAAAGAGAGACCUUCAGGGAGGAAGCAAGAGAAGGAGAGGGUAAAGAAAGGAGGAGAUGGUAUUGUGUUCCAGUCCGCAGUUCAAGAGAUGAUUGAAACAAAGGAGAAGAUAUCAGUUACUGGGAAAGGAUUAUUGGAAGACUGCUGGAGAUGCUCUUAAUUGUAUAGCCUAAAUAAAAGCAUUUGUUGCUGUUAAUUUUAGUUGAUACUGGAAAAUAAGGGCUGCAUAUUCUGUUUUUUUCCAAUUAAUUCGAUACGUUGUAGCAACUCUAAAGUGUGCGCUAGCUUCUGUAACAUUAGAGUGUUGUUGGCUGAUUUGGCAUUUGCCUUUCGUCGGUUCUAUUCCACUAGAAAGUGUUCAGCAAUUGAGAACUUUCUCGCUUAAUCUAUUCAGAUAAAUGCACAGAAUUGAGUGAACCAUGUAAUUUUUAAUGGUUGCUCAACACUACUUUAUAUGCUAGCUAGCUAGGCUUGCUCUGUACAAACAUUGUAUUUACACAGUAGAAUUGUUGGCUUUUUCUUGUAUAACCUAAAACCGAAAGCUUGAUUGAGCCACUUUUGUCUAAAAAUGUUAAUGUUGAAGUGCUCAUUCAGAAUAUAUUAUCUUUGUGAGGAGGCCCACCGGCAGGAUAAUCCACCUCAGUGUCCAACCAUCACAUACCUUGUAUACUGUGAGAGAAAAAAUUCUGGAACAACACUGCCUUGUCUUUGAUGGAGAGCAGCUAGAGGACAACUUUACACUAGCUGACGCUUGACCUCCUAGAAAAGAUGCAAAUCUAUGUAAUGGAGACGCUAGCAGGCAAGUCCAUCACCCUUGAGGUUGAAUACUAUUGACAACGUGAAGGGCAAAAUUGAAGAUCCUCAUCUUUUCCAACAAACAGCUGCACGACAACAGCACCUUGGCGACAACAACAUUUGGAAGGAGGCCAUCGUUCUUCUUGUCCUCCACCCAUUUCCAAGAGGCACGAUGCGGAUCUUCGUGGUGAAGAUGACUAGAAGGACCAUGCAUCCCUCUUUUGGUUGAGAGUUGAGAUACCAUCGACGCUGUGAAGCUGAAGAUCUAUGAGAAGGAUGGCAGUCGCCCCAGACGGCAACGCCUCAUUUUGCUGGCAAACAGUUGGAGGACAGCCAGACCUGGCUGACUAUAUCAUUCAAAAUGAGUCUACCAUCGACGUCGACGUGGUGCUCUGCCAAUAUGUGGUCGCUGAGAUGCAUGACCAUCAACACGGAGAUACGUGAUGUAUGGCCAUUCAACAAGGAGAUACUUUUGAUGCAGUCUUCUUUCUUUCCUUCCAGUAGUGGUGUGUCAUCAGUAAAACUACUAUCAUUGUAGGACGUUAGUAUUGCUGCAUUCUUCUUUCUUUAUUAUCAAACUGAGAUUAACUUAUCUGGCCAACCAAUCGUGCGUUGUGAUGUACUACAGUACAGCAGAUGGUUCGUUCUCACAACAGAAUCAAACAGGAAAAUCACGGCAAUUACAAAUGGGGAUGUCGGCCGGAUAAACAAUUACUAUUUUAUUUGGCAACAAUUCAAGUACUGUUUUGGCAGCAGUAAAGGAAAACUAGUAAGUUCCGACUGAGUUUUUCUGGAUAAAAACAUAAAACGCUGCCGCUGUUACGGCGCACAAAAUCCCUGCGUUCUCCAUUGAGUUCGCAUGUGUGUUUCCACAGCUCACCGGACGGCCGCCGUCGAGUUGAUCUCCGGCGAACCUCUGACAGAGAUGUGCGUGGCACUAUGGUGGAUGUGGACCCACCACUCGUUACACGGUCAAAAGGGGCCCAACCAGGUCGAAGGGCAAGGAAGAAACUCUGGGCCGCCUCUGGCUGCCGGGAAUUAUUGGCUGAUUGCUUUUUGGAAAAUAAAAAUCAGCUCCGGUUGGAAGUCCUAAUUCUCUUCCACUUCCGAUUCCAACCUUCAAGUCCCUGCCGAGUCGAGUAUAAAUUAAAACACAUACAUCUAUCCCCAAACCUUUCAUCGUGGAAAAUGCAAAAUCACAUGUACAUGUGACCACAUGACUUAUCUUAACCGUUGAUUUCUUUUUAUCCAACUGUUGAUCCACUACCUACCCCUUAUACUUCUUACCUACCAAUGAUCUAUCUCAUCAUUGAUUCAAAAAUAAAUGGCUUGGAUAUAUAACUCAUGUGGUCACAUGUAUAUCCUUUCGUUAUAGUAUGUUAAUGUGUGAGAUCUUGUAUCAAGAGUCCCUGGGUUUGUCUUGGCAUCAUUUUAUUGAGAAAAACAGUUGGUGGCUUCAACUUUAGUAAGGUGUGUUGCAAGCAUGCAGCGGCAAUUGCAGAGGUCACAAGCAUGCAUCAGCUCAAUACCCUAUCUGCUAAUUGUCUCUGUCACGCAGUCUCUCGGUUGAUUGUAAUCUUAACAAGACGUGCACAAGCACAACCAUUGUUCCCACGGAAAUCCUAAAGAGAAACAUAAAAAUCGUACUAACCUUUGCUCAGAAAAAAAUGGACUGAAAUAUAGGGUGUGUAAAAAAUAUUACAAGCUUUUAGUAGUAAUAUAUGUUUCCAUAAUAACCCAGGUAACGCACAAAAGUAUAGAUGACAUUAUCGUGGAGACUGAAUUCCCAAGUAUGCUGAAUCAGUCAUGCUGACAUACCCGUUGCUAAGCUCGAUUUCGAAGCAAGCGUUUGGUGAUCCAACGAGCAUAGCUCCCUCGUCGGAAGUCUCCUGCCCCCAUGGAUGCUGCGACAGGUUCCUAAACCUCUCAAGCUCAUCUGCAACCUCCCGCAUCGGCGGUCUCUGCUCGCUAGCUAUCUCCAAGCAUCGCCUCGCCAGCUCGGCCACCUGCUCGAUCAGCUCGAUGCUCUCUUCGCCUUUGAUCUGUUCGUCCAGUAUCUCGCCAAGCCUGUUCUCGCUCAUGGCCAGGAGGAAAUGUGCCGAGAGGUUUAUUUCCUCAUCGAUUGCCUGAAGGUUCGUCGCCUUCCUGCACGUCAGCAGCUCCAGGAUGACGACGCCGAAGCUGUACACGUCGCUCUUGCUCGUCAGCUUGGAGGUCUGCAUGUACUCUGGGUCCAGGUAGCCGUAGGUCCCCUGGACAAAUGUCACAAACUGGGCCUCGUCCGUCGGAGCCAAAGUCGAGGCUCCAAAAUCUGAGACUCUGACGGUGUAGUUGUCGUCGAUGAGUAUGUUUGCCGAUUUCACGUCGCCGUGGAUGAUCGGCGGCGAGGCCCAGGAGUGCAGGUAGGCGAGUGCUUCCGCGGCCUCGUGCGCGAUCUUCAGGCGCGUCGCGAAGGAGACGCGCGGCCCGUGGUGAUGCCGGCCAUGGAUGAGCUGGUACAGGGUGCCGUUGGGGAUGAACUCGUAGACGAGCAUGGGCACCUCCACCUCAAGGCAGCAGCCAUAGAACUUGACGACGUUCCUGUGGUUGAUCUGGGACAGGAUGAGCAUCUCCUUCCCGAACUCCUUCUCCUGCCUCUCGCUGAUCAUCUUGCACUUCUUUAUCGCUGCCGAUCUGUUAUCUUUUAGAGUUCCUCUGUACACGGUGCCAUUCCCUCUCUUGCCGAGCACAACUGGUUGGGGAAUCGGCACAUGUUGGUGGAUCGGCGACAGGAUGACCGGGUGAUGAAUCAAAGCGUGCGGCGGAUUCUGCGGUAACAUGACCGGCUGAGUGGUUGACAGUUGGUGGCAUAGCGAAUCGGCUGCCCCAUCGUAUAGCAUCAUCGGCGCUGCACUUCGAAGUGUUUCAGUAGCAUCUAUCCCCCUGCCGAUUUCUGACAUGGCCGGCUGAUACUAUGGGACCAUCGGCCGGAUAGCCGGUUGGAGCGGUGCCUGGAUCGGAGAGCCUCCAUAACCGACCGAUUGGUCCAGGACAGCUGCCGCUGUUGGUGCCCCCCAAGGCAUUGAGUUUGAGGGCAAUGACUGCACGGAAGAAAUCUGGGCAAGCUGAGGCGGUGCUUGUGACUGAAAGCAUGGUGCACCGCUGUAUCCCGGAGGCAUUGAAGGCAGUGAAGUGUUGUGUCCUUCGUGUUGCGUCGGCGUCAGCUGAGGAGCCGAGCUAGAUGUGCUUGGUAAGCUCCUGACUGGAGUUGUAAUGGGUGGGGCGUACGCUGGCCCCUGAUAUCCUUGAGCUACCCCGUUGGCCAGGGAACUGAUGACGGCAUUGUACACCGUGUUGGUCAUCACCGGUGAUUGGUCGAUGAAAGCCUGAUAAACGGACUGUUGAAUCAUGUUGGACAUCUUGCUCGAGUCCUCAGCGAUGGUGAUCUGGCGGGGAGUUGGAAGAGGAGCUUUCUUGAUGGCCUCCCCGCUCCCUCCUAGUACGACUGAAAGAUUGCAGAUAUACCUUCUUGUAGUCUUCUAGGUGUUUUGCCGAUUCUUCUUUCUAGUCGUCCUUGAGAUCUGCCUCCGUAACCUCAAUGACAUUGUCUUCGGAGACUUCGGUGGCCUUUGACAUGUUGGAUAUUGAGGUGGUCUCACUGGGCGUGCCAAAAGUGUGUUGGCGCUAAAAGUCAGCCAAUUGAUCCUCAGCGUCGGACACACGACCCGGGAGAAUCUGCUUAGCUCCUGUUCGGAUAAUCGCCCUGGUUCGGUUCGCGCGGCGUGCCAUCUAAUCUGACCCGUUGAUUGGCAAGGAAGAAAACAUGUCAAAUUCCAGGGGUUCCGAUCGGCUAAGGUUCCAAUCUCGAAAAGCGUAUCAGCGAAUCGGCCGAUUUGCUAUAUAAAGAUAAUCGGCUAUGAUACAGCCGACAAUCACGUAGCGAUUGCGAAGAAAACUACUAGAGUAAACUAGACAAAGCUACGAAAGCAACACUUGAAAUAGACCUAAUUGGCUAUGCGAUAAUGAUGAAUGAAAAUAACAGCAACAAAGCCGAUAGUUCAAAUCUCAAGCUGGAUAACUGGUGAUAAAACUAGAACAGUAGAUAAAACCUAUAAUUCUAGUAAAUAUCGAUAACUUGUGAAUAAAUCUAAACGAAACGAUAGCGAUGCGUCCGAAGUUAAAGCUUAGAUAUUACUCGAUAAACAGAACUUACAGAAUCGGCCGAAGAUCGUGUCGAUGCAGCCCUGCCAACCCGUACGAACUCGUGAAAGAAAAAGAUGUAUUGGCGAAGUCGCCGACUUGAAAGUAAAGUACGAGGAAACAGUAGAUUGUUGUAUUGAUUGAUGUGUUGUUUACAAAUCUCUGAAGAUGGCUAUUUAUAGCCUGUUACAACCGAUUUCCUAACCGACUAGGAUCUAUCUCUAAUUUUAAACGAAAACAAAUAUUUACGAACACAACUCGUAUUGGAGUUGGUUAUUGUACUCCCACGGGCCAAUCUUUCUCUAUCUUCUUUCUCUGACCCACUUUAAGCCCAUAUUGGCCCAAUCGCUCCAGCCUUCCAAUCGGCCGAUCUCCACCAACUCCCUCUGCCAAAACACUUGCAGUGCCAAUUGGCUGAUUCCCAACUGUAGCACCAAUCAGCCGAUUCCCAAUCGUAACCUUUUAAUCCACCGUAUCGGCCAAUCCUUUUCUCCCUUGACGUCGAUCCCAUACGUGUCAAAAUCUUGCGUCAACACAUUCUCUUAAAGUGAUGCACUGGAUCGUGAACGUGCCAUUAAGAGACUACACAAGAUAAGCUUGAAAAUAAGUUAGUCUCAAAAUCACAAAAGCUCCCCCUAAAUGUGUGCAUUUAGUGUCUGAAUCACCAACCAAGAGUAUGCACAUUUUUUUUGACAGCAAAAGGGAAGCUAACCCUAUAGAAUGUGCUCAUGAUACAAAAGAUAAUAAAUGAAAGAGCAUGUAUCAUGAAAGAACCACACAUAUCAAACCAUGUAGGUUGCUCGUGGGUUAGAGAGAUACACAAGCAACCUACCAUAUAAAAACAACUAAGCAUUACAACAUAUAUCAUAUGAGAACACAAUGCAAUCCUAGACAUGGCAAUGGAGCUACAAUGAUGCUUGAGUUGGGUUCUAACUACCAUUACCUUUGGAUGGGGGACUUAGGCAUAUAUGUCUAACGUUGUGAGCUUGGCAUAUAUCUUCAUCUUCUUGUGAGCCAAGCCUUCAAAUCCCCCGUAGCUGAUCAUGGACUUCACGUGUCUUUUGGAACCCAAACCAUUUGAGGCCCUUUCAUGUUGGUGAUCACUUCCUUGGGCACCCAAAUGGGUCGAUUCCAACCCCACUCCUUCUUCAUCUUCCCAACCUUAUAUGCAAUCACCUUUCCACUGGUCUUUUUCUUGAUGACGUAGGUGUUGCUCUUGGCCUUGUUAUUGCGGUUGGGCUUGGUGUAGAUGAGGGAGCUCUUGAUGGUAAAGUUCAUCUUCUUCACUUGAGGGCAUUGGUAGGACUUGUGGCCUUCUUCAUGACACUUGAAGCAAGUCACGGUUGCUCCCUUCUCAAGCUUCUUCACCAUGUGAUCACGAUUAUUUUGAGAAGGUUGGACGUUGCUCUUCUUAUCUUGAGAAGCUUGUACAUUGUCUGCCUUGUCCAUGCCCUUCAACUUAGCCAAUUUGCCCAUGAGCCAUUUCACUUCUUGCUUGAGCUCAUCAUUCUCCUUGGCAAUGAGAUCAUCACAUGAUUAUACAACAAUAUUCUCAAAGGAUUUGUCAUUGCAAGAUGGUGAGCAAGAUUCAUGAAUUAAGUCAAAGCAAGAAGUUGAAACAUCUAUCUUAGAUAUAGGAAUUGCACAAAGGAUAGAUGAUUCAUCUAGCUCCAAGGAAUUCUUAGUUUCAAUUCCAAUGCUCUCAAUUUUAGAUUUGAGCUCUUCAUGCUCCUUGCUAAGUAAGUUGAACUUGCACAACAAAUUUUCAUAAUUUGUAGCAAGAGUAGCAUUAAGGUCAUUGAUAGCAUUGAGUUCUUUUAUUUGCUUAGAUUGUUUCUUAAUGAUUCCUUUUUGCUCAUGAAUUAGCUCAAGAAGAUCAUCAAUAGAAGAAGAAUCAGAUUCAUCAUCACUUACAUUGCUUUCUAUACCUCGGGCCAUAAGGCAAAAAUGUGAUGAUGAUGAAGGACCUUGCAUGAAGCGAGUGGUGAAGUUCUUGCUUGAUUCAUCACUUGAGCUACAAGAACUUGAUUCUCCACCGCUUAUCCAUUCACAGACGACGGUGAGUGCUUCUUGCUUGGGCUUCAUCUCCUUCUUCUUUUUCUUGUGCUUGAUCCUCAUGAUCUUCACUUGUUGAUGAUGAAGUCAUUCUCUCAAUGAACAUUGUAGCCAUACAUGUUGUUCUUUUUCACGUACUUUAAGACCUUCUUGGCGUACACAUUUACCAAGGAUUUGGUUUCUUCAUCACUUGAGAAGCUUUUGUCAUCAUCAUCUUCUUCUUCUUCUUCUUCUUCUUCUUCUUCUUCUUCUUCUUCUUCACUUGAGCUUCUAUGAGUUGCCUUCUUCCUCAACUUAUUCUCUUGUUGACUUGAAAGAGCAAGACUUUGAGUUGGAGAAGAUGGUUCCUUGAGCUUAUCCUGGAGUUGCACCUUGGGCUUGUCCAUUAGCUGGAGCUCAAAUGCUAUGAUCUUGUUUAAGAUAUGAUUUGGAGUUAAUUCAUAGAGCUUCUUUUCAAAGAGAACUGCCUUCACCAAAUCAUAAUCUGGCUUCCAGAAGCUGUGAAGGAUCUUGCGAUUGAGUUCCGCAUUCUUGAUGUUCUUCACACCUAAAGCAUUGAUAUCAUUCACAAGAACAUUCAAGCGUGCAUACAUAGCCUCGAGAUUCUCAUUAUCAAGUUGCUUAAAGCUAUUUAGCUUAUCAAUGGGAAUAUCGUAUCUUUCAUUAGUUACGUCCUUUGAUCCCUCAUUGUUCUGUUUGAUAGUCAUCCAUAGCUCGUUAGCAUUUUCACAAGUAAAAACACGAUUGAAAACACUUUCACUAAGUGAGGACAAAAUGAUGCUCUUGACAAUCACAUCAUAUUGUUUUUCUUGUUGUCCUUUAUUUUUCAUGCCCUCGCUACUGACUCUCCAAAUAUUUAGGCCCUUAGCUUGGAGAAAUGCUUCCUUGAGAACUUUUCAACGUGGAUAGCCUGUGUCAUCGAAAUAUGGAGCCAAACCUAUUAUAUCCAUCCCUUUCCCUUAUCAAGCUAACUCACAAGGCGGUGAAGGCUAACCAUUUUCAAUGAGCCGGUUUCACAAUUUGCCAAUAAAAUUGGUGAUUCUGUGUGAAAUAUGUGAGUCUCAGCUUUGAUACCACGUGUAAGGAAUUGGUGCUCGUAGCCUAAGAGGGGGAGGGGGUGAAUCAGGCAACCUAAAAACUUAACCUAUGGCAUCCACUAAUUUGCAUGUAAGUAAACUAGACCAUUUUAUCCUAGAAGUGCAUUGUAGUGUGAAACCCUCAUCCCAAAACAAGUUUUGCAACCUAGAGCCAAUCCUAUCAAGGUAAGGUACUACACUAAGAAAGUAAAGGCACCCAAGUUGUAAGUAUUAAAAUACGGAAAUGUAAGAGGUUAGGAUGAAGGGAAGUAAACUCUUGACACAAUGAUUUAUCCCGUGGUAUCAGUAGUCACUAAGCCACCACUAGUCCACGUUGUUGAAGCACUCACAUAAGAGUAUUGCUUCCUGGUCACCAAGUCUGUCCCAAGGCACCCCUUGACUUGCCACAGAGGCUCGGCCACUAAGUCACACGCUAAGUUCCUCGGUCACCUUGAUGCCAUUUCCACUAAGGAGCUUCUCCAUGAAGUGAAGGGGGUCUCCACGUCCCCCGCACAAGGUCAUAAAUGCUGCUCCACACCAAGCCGGAGGGUCGAAGACUUGCCGGCGAGCCACCAAGGCUCCAAGGUGCCGGCACACCUCUUGUACAGCGGUGGUUCACUCUAGAACCUGGUCACAAGGUUGGCACACCUUGCACUCACUCCUCUCUAAGGCUAUCCUAGCACUAAUCACUCUCCUAACCUUGUGCUAAGCCUUUGAUGAAUCACUGAAGCACUUUUGGUGGCUUGGAUGUGUUCUUGAUGAGUCUUGGUUUUCAAUGCAUCCCAAGACACUCCAGCAACUCCAAAUGGGCGAGUAGUGGGGGUAUAAAUAGCCCCAAAGGCUGAAAGAGCCGUUGCUCUAACGGCUAGUUAAAAAGUAUAUCAUUGGAUGUUCCGAUGGUCUAUUUCUGACCUGCAUCGGAAUAUCCUGUGCAACUAGCCGUUGGCUCCCCACGCUCAACUUUUUCACUGACAUAUCCAAAAUUCAUCCGACGCUUCAUCCAAUGCACCCAUCGGAUGAUCCGGUGUUGAAGAGCUUUCUAGCCGAAACCUUUUGUCUGAUUUCAAAGUAAUAUGUUUUGUCCGACGUUCCUUUUGUGCCUUCCAUCGGAUCAUCCGGUGCUGCUUGAUUUUCUUCGUCUUCCAAGCCUGUCCCUCAGAAUUUGUCCGACACUACUAGAAAAGGGACCAUCAGAUCAUCCGAUGGUUGACUUUAGCUUGACUUCAUUUCAGCGUACCAAUUGCUCCGACGCUCAUCUGGGGGCUAUCGGAACAUCUGAUGGUGUGUUUUCCUAGAUGUCUUCGUUUCUUCGCUUGUCUUUGGUUGUGGUUGCUUCCUUGGGACCUAGAAUACCUUCAAGACAUGUUCUAACCAAUUUGUUAGUCCCAAUGACCAUGUUAUCAUUGAAUCAGCAAAAUCAUGAACAAAUGGCUUAAUAAGGCCAUGUUCGCUACAAACAACUUCUCUGGCGAGAUAUCGGUGACCUUUGCAAGCUACAAGACACUCAUGAGGUUCCGGGUCGGCAAUAACUCGCUCUCCGGCGAUGUGCCCGAGGGGCUGUGGGCCCUACCAAAUGUCAUCGUCUUUGACCUAGCAGAGAACCAUUUCAACGGCAGCAUCAACUCUAGCAUCGGGAAUUCAUGGGCAUUAAAUUUUAUGCCACAUCAGCAAUUUUGCUGGCUUGGCAAGAUCAUUUAUGAGGACAGUUUCAUUAGAUGUGAGAGAAAUUUCAUCCCCAUGACACUCCGCUGGCACAGUUACCUAGUUCUUAGUCUUGGUAACUGUGCACUGAGACUGGCCUUACCGGUCUUCUACUAGCCGGCAACCGUUCUCCGGCGCAAUACCGUCAACGAUUGGGAACGCGACUAAUAUUCACUUGGUAGAUAUGUCAUCUAACGCAAUCUCUAGCACGAUACCAUCUUCGAUAGGGAACAUAACCUAUCUUUGGACCAUAGACAUGUCCUCUAACGAAAUCUCCGACAAGAUACCGGAGAGCAUCGGUAAUCUGGCCUACCUCACAAAGCUUUCCCUUGCAGCGAAUUAGAUAAACGGCGCUAUGCCAUAGCUCCUUUGUUACCCUGUAGGCCAGGGCACCACGAGACCGGCUAAUAACGAGGACAUCACCCUCAUCUGUUCCUGUGCUACUUUCGCCUCUCCCAGUGACACAAACGGCAUUAAUUAGGGUAAAUUGAGAAUGUUGUCGAUGGCUCUCUCACAAGAAAAUUUUCACACCGUGUGUUUGCAUCGACCCCCAUCUUGGCCGAAACCUCGUUCUCAGUUGGGGUCAGUGGUCAAGUUAACGGAUCAAGAGAAAAAUAUCAGGGAUGGCCGGUAAGAUCGGUACACUGAUUUUCGGCUGAAAUUUCGACCGGAAUUUUUGAAAUCGAGCCAAAUUUUGACUGAAAUUUGAAAGAUCAGCCCAAAUGCUGGCCGGAAAGUGAUCAGUAUGUACUGGUAUGACUAUUUACCGAUGUUCGACGAAAUUCAGCCGAAAUUAUGAACCCUGGUUGGGGUUCUAGCAAUCAAUGUCCUCGUUUGGAAAAUCCUCAAGAGUGGGGUUGGACAGGGUCUGAGCUAUCAGGAUCAUUGAGCUUGAUUUGGAGUUUGAAUUGGACGGUUGGACGGUUUAUAUAUGUAUUUCGAUCGUCUUGAGUAGGGAUCUGCAAUGCUAAUGUCCAGAUUGUAAUAUAAGACCUCUACAAAAUCGGAAGUUCAACCGGCCGUGCCAAUUUUGGUUAUCAACAUAUACCCCCUAUUUCUUUUUUGGAAAAGCUUGUGUACCAAUAAAAAUUAUCAUGACUAAAAUUGCGAAGACGAUGAACACACAUCGGCCAUGUAUUUUCCUAAGGGCGAUACAAUUCCAUCGGCCAUAACAUUUGUAUGUGAUGUUGCAUUUCAUGUUGCCUUGCAUGGUGUUUUGUCUGGAAAAUACAUUUUCAAAAUGCGAAUAAGAUCAAAUAGGUUUUGCUCUUUUUUUUAAAAAAAAAGUUUUGAAUUCAAUUUUUUUAAAUCAAGUUUUAGAGCUGGAAAACUUGCACCAAAUUUUCAUCCCAGUCUCCUUUGUUUCUUUUUCUUCUAUCUAUUUUCGGCCAAAUUCCACGGCCACAGCACAACCAGCUCCCUCUUUCCUUCUCACUUCCUGGAGGACCCACCCGUCAGGGUCAUCUUCUAGCUCCAGCACCCUUUUCCCCUCUGUUCCGUGCCCACCGAGCCGAGCUCAUUCCACCUCCCAUGGCCACCCUCUCCUUUUCUCGUCAGUGCGUCCCAAGUGCGCCACCAGUACCAGCUCGCCUCCCCUCCACUAUGGUGUCAACGGUGUCUCCAUCUGCAGUGACGCAACAUGGCCGUCGACUCGCCACCCAAAAGUCAUACAAUCCAAAUGCCUAUCCUUAUCCCAAAAGAAAAAAAAGACAGACAAACAAAUGCCUAUCAAGAUGUACUCUUAAGUCCAAGGACAAAGAAAGAGGCCAUUCGACAUGACUUGGACUGCUACAUGUGUUUUGACUGAAAGAGUGUUCUGCUAAUUUGGUUACUUUCCACUUACAAAAGAAAAAAGUGGCGCCACUAUUUGUUGUUUUGCUGCUGUGCUGCACCAGCGAGCGAGGACUCUGCAUUUGACAGACUGCGCCUCAAAGCAUGAGUACUCUGCAUGUGCUCGUCCUCGUGCUCCUGCUCCAUUCUAUGUGCAGUCAUGCAUCUUCCUCCUUGGAGCAGCAAGUGGCUGAUGGUGAUCGAAGAGCCCUGCUGGCAAUCAAGCUGGAGCUCUCCGACCCCAUGGGCUGGCUGAGCUCGUGGAACAGAACAAGCUCCGAUGUCUGCCAGUGGGCCGGCGUGACAUGCAGCCGCCAGCACCCUGGCAGGGUGGCGUCGCUGGACUUGUCAUCGAGACAGCUCUCGGGCAUCGUCUCUCCAGCGAUCGGCAACCUCACGUUCCUGCGGAAGCUCAACCUGGAAUCCAACAUGCUGGCCGGCGAGGUGCCACUCACCGUCGGCCGGCUACGCCGCCUGCGUUUCCUUUCUCUGUUCAACAACUCCUUCCGUGGUGAGAUCCCUCGAGAAAUAUGCAACUGCUCCAACCUAGUCCGACUUUCCCUCGGAGUCAACCAAAUGGAAGGUGAAAUUCCUGCUGGGCUUGGAUUGCUGUCUCAGCUUCACAUCCUCUACAUCCACUACAAUAAUUUGGUAGGAAGCAUCCCACCAUCACUUGGUAAUCUUACCUUGCUUGAGACUCUUGAUGUCCUUGAGAACAGACUGGUAGGGAGCAUACCUGCAAGUCUUUCCCAUUUAGACCAUCUCAGAUCCUUUGAGGUGGGUAGAAAUAAUCUCUCCGGCACAAUUCCACCACUGCUCUUCAACAAAUCAUCGCUUCAAUAUUUCGGAGUUGCAUCGAACAAGCUGCAUGGAAGCUUGCCAGCUGAUGCAGGCGCCAACCUGCCGACUCUCAGAAAGUUCUUUUUGGGUAACAACCGGCUGUCUGGAACAAUUCCUAGUUCACUUGGUAACGCCACCAUGGUACAAGUGUUAGGUCUUGCACAGAACAGAUUCCAAGGGAGGGUGGCACCUGAGAUAGGGAAGCUCUGCCCAUUCGAAGUCCAGAUGGGUGUAAAUCAGCUGCAGGCAGAAGAUGAACAGGGUUGGGAGUUCUUCACUCUGUUUACAAACUGCACUCGUCUUCAACUGAUAGAUCUACCCCUCAACAGGCUAGGAGGCGUGCUUCCUACUUCCAUCGCAAAUUUUUCGACACAGAUCCAAUGGCUCAGCAUUGCGGCCAAUGGCAUCUCUGGAGUGGUCCCUUCAGGCCUGGGGAAUCUUGUCAACCUUAGCAACCUAGACAUGACUGAAAACAACCUGCAUGGUGUAAUUCCUGAAGAUAUCGCAAAACUUACAAGUCUGCAAGUAUUGUUGGUUGGAGAUAACCAAUUGUCAGGAAAUAUACCAUCUUCCUUCGGCAACCUCACACAACUUCAAAUGUUUUCCUUGUCAAACAAUAGGCUUGAUGGCCCCAUUCCUAGAAGCCUUGGUAACUUGACAAACUUACCUAACCUGGAUUUGUCCUCCAAUCUGCUCACUGGUUUUAUCCCUACUGAGAUCUUUGGCCUUCCGUUACUGACAGAUUACCUAUUGCUAUCUGAUAAUUACUUAUCCGGAGCUAUUCCUCCACAAGUUGGCAGCCUUAAACAUAUCCAAACUCUCAAUCUUUCGAAAAACAAUUUUUCCGGAGAAAUACCAACUAUAAUUGGUGAUUGUGCAUCUCUGGUCUACCUUGGCUUGGCUGACAACUAUUUCACGGGUAGGAUUCCCAAGUCGCUUGGUAAUCUGAGAGGCCUCAACACACUGAACCUCACAAGGAAUGCUUUGUCAGGCAGAAUACCGCAAGAGUUGGGUAACAUCAACGGCUUACAGGAAUUAUAUCUGGCACAUAAUAAUUUUUCCGGAAUCAUUCCAAAAGUUUUUGAGAACAUAAGUACCUUGGUUCAACUAGACCUCUCCUUUAAUAAUCUUGAUGGUGAGGUUCCAUCCUACGGGGUGUUUGCUAACAUGACUGGAUUCUCAAUGGUUGGAAAUGAUGGGCUCUGUGGUGGCAUUCGAGAGCUAGAAUUGCCUCCAUGUCAGGAUAUGCCUCAUAAGAAGCGCCAUCACACAUUGCUUAGGGUUGUGCUUCCCAUUGCUGGUGCUAUUAUAUGCAUCUCUCUUCUAUUGUUUCUGCUCUUUCUGUUAAAGUGGAAAAUAACACCUGAGAAGAUGAAAACUGAUAACCGUAUUGGGUUGACGGACAAGUAUCCCAGAGUUUCCUACCUUGAAUUGUUUGAAGCUACUGAUGGAUUUACACCCGCGAAUCUGGUAGGCGCAGGAAAAUAUGGUUCUGUAUAAAGGAAGUCUGUCUCUUCCGGCAGUCAGAAAUGCUGCCGUAGCUGUGAAAGUGUUCACUCUUCAGCAAUCUGGUUCUUCAAAAAGUUUCUUGGCAGAAUGUGGGGCUCUGAGACGGGUGAAACAUCGGAAUUUGAUCAAUAUUAUUACCUGCUGCUCUAGUGUUGACACUAGAGGCAACGACUUCCAGGCACUAGUAUUUGAGUUCAUGCCCAACUACAGCCUGGAUAGAUGGCUGCAUCCGCGAACAGAUGAGCAGCUGCACAAGUUAAAUCUAAUCCAACUCUUGAAUAUUGCAGUUGAUGUUGCAGAUGCAAUAGAUUAUCUUCACAACAAUAGUCGGCCAUCAGUCAUCCAUUGUGAUUUGAAGCCCAACAACAUCCUCCUUGAUAGUGACUGGACUGCUUACGUCGCUGACUUCGGACUCUCAAAACUGAUUGGUGAAUCUGUGAACAUAUCUGGCUCAUAUACUGGAAGCUCCAUAGGGAUAAGAGGAACCGUUGGGUACGUUGCUCCAGGUAAUUGUAAUGUCCACCGUACGCAAUUCUUAACCAACUUAGUUUGUGCACAAAUCAGAACUGAGAAUUUAAUCAUCAACAUACUUGUUGUCGCAGAAUAUGGAGCAGGUGGGCCUGUAUCCAGUGCCGGUGAUGCUUACAGCUUCGGGAUUACCCUUCUGGAGAUGUUCACAGGGAGAGCACCAACUGACGAUAUGUUCAGAGAAGGCUUGAGCUUGCACUUGUUUGCUGAGAUGGCAUUACCUGACAAGUUGACAGAAAUAGUGGAUACAGUGCUAUUAGAGGUGCAACCAUGUGAAAACGCUGCAAAGGAUGACAAAAUACUGGCUUGCUUAGCUUCGGUUGUCAGAGUCGGCAUCUCGUGCUCAAAGCAAAUCCCGUCAGAAAGAAUGAGCAUGAAAGAUGCAGCCAUUGAGCUGCAUAGAAUCAGAUACGUGGUAAUGGAGCCCUCUAUAUAGGAUCGGAAUUUUGAUUCCCUAGUGUUCUCCUGGUCCUGCUGUACUUUUCAGGCCGCAACUGAAAACAAUAGAAAUUUCCUUGGGGAAAUGUGGUACAGUGCCUCCACAUACAUAACGAAAGUCUGAGGCAGUCAUACAUGAUAGAGAAGCAUGAAUCUGUCAAGCAAAAUGGCACCAUCAGACUGCAUGUAUGUAUUUAUUUGGUACUUAAUAAAGCAUGCCGUGCAAAAUGUAAGUUUUCCCCCCUAUUUUAUAAACAUGCCAAAGCAAUGUUGGAGUGCAGUGAAGGAGAGUAUAUUCAUAACGGCUCACAACCACGUUCUAUCAGUAUUUUAGAACGAUUGAUCAGAGUAGGAGCCGGCAGGCAUGCUCAUGCACAUUCCUGAGCAUUGGUCCCUCGCAGGCAAAGCAGCGAACACCUUGUGCACAGCCGCCGGCGACAUGCCUAACGAGGAAGCAAACGAGCAGAGACGAUGAUGGUAUUGCGGUCAGGCGUGCGUACCUUGCAAAGUAGCCUGUGUGGACGACACGCACGCGUUGCGGCAUGGAACCAUGGAGGCGAGAGCGUGGCGAAGACGAAGGCGACCGUGGUCCCGGCGUGGGCGCGCCUGGAUCACGUGGCGUCGCGCCGUCGCCGUCGCCGGCGCACGCGAGCAGGGUGCGACGCCCCUGCGUACGUUCCCGUGGCUGGGCGCGCGAACCACGUCGAGGCCGGUGGAUACUGGCAAGAAGAACAGCUGAACAAGGUCAGCGUCGCCGGCGAUGUCAUGUCGCGCCCGGCGAGCACGAAGCUGCUAGUGACCACGCCACCGGAGGUUCUCGUCGCUCGCGGUCGCGGCGAAACGUGACCAGGACACUGGGUGUGGUCCCAGACUGGAAGACCGGCGGGGCGGCGCUCCGGCGAGCAACAAGCCGACGACAAGGGGGUGGACGGUAAACGAAAUGACGACCGGGGGUGGAUACCUGACAGCCGUUGGAUCUAGCAGUGCGGUCCAGAUCGGGCGAGAUUUGCAUAGGCAGCCCUCUCGCGGGCGCGGGCGCGCGGGAGCUUGGUGUCGCCAUGCUAGAGGCCAGACGGCGGGAGCACGAUGCCGCGCGGAGGCGCUCUGCGCCGAGGGCCUGCCGGUCGCGCUGCCCGCGCUCGCGGCGUUGUCCCUGCCGUCUCCGUGCGAGGCCUGGGUAUUGCCGCCGCGUCGGUCCCGUUCGCCGGCAUCUGCGGCGCUGUCCCUGCCCGUGCCCGAGAACGCGCUCGCCGGCGUCAUCGGCGAGGUGACCGCGUGGCGUGCACGGGGCUCCAGGACCUGACGCUCGCGUUCAAACGGCUUCGGUGGCGCCGUGCCAAAUGGCCCAAACCUCUCGCCGCCGACGAAGCUCCGUACUCUCAAGAAUCUCCUCGAACAGCGCUUCGCCGGCGCGUUCCCGAUGACUUCCCGUGGGCAUCCCUCGCCGCCGCGCCGAUGUGUUCUACGUAGUAGCAAUGCACGAGGAAAUUUUCACGCGGUGUGUUCGCAUCAGUCCCUGUUCUUGAUCAGUUGGGGUACUAUCAAAUAUCAAUCAAAUGUCCUCGUUUGGAAAAUCUUCGGAGUUGGGUUGGACAGGGACCGAGCUAAGCUAGCGCCCAAAUGCUGUACUGCCUGAAGAGUGAAGAUUCCGUGCGUGGCAGCUCAUUUCGUGGUAGAGAGACAGAUUGCUUUUAGUUGUGAAUUUCUAAAAAAAAAAGCACUCGCAAGAAACAGAGGGUCUGUUUAUGAGAGAGAAAUAUUGUUCGGUGGCUGAUAAACCGGCUGAUAAGCUGAAGCGAACGGGCUGAGAGAAACGAGAGCAGGUGCUGCCAGCAUUUCCUCGAUCGGAUUACGAAAUUGUAGUAGCUCUUUGCCCUUCGACGUAUACGCUUCCGCUCCUUUUCUUCGAAGGGGUGGGUGAAGAUGAAGCCCAGCAAAUGGAAAUGGAAGGACGGAUGCCGGCUUGAUUGCUUCGUUCCCACGAUCGAGGAGACUAACCGUCCGACCUUGACUGAAGUCCAAACGAUGCCACGAUCUCGGCUUAUAAAAAUGCCUAAAAAUUGUGAUGCUUGGCGUGCUCACUCAGGAUGUCUAUCUUUGUGAGGAGCCCCACCGGCAGGACAAUCCGCCUCCGGGUCCAACCAUCAGAUACAUUGUAUAAUGUUAAGGAAAAGAUUUUGGAACAACACCGCCUUGCCUUUGAUGGAGAGCAGCUAGACGACAACCUUACACUAGCUGAUUGCGACAUCCAGCAUGAACAACACCGCCCAGCUAUUCGGCAUGCGGCCCAGUUCGCUUCAGCUAUUCGGCAUGCGGCCCAGUUCGCUUCAGGGUUGCAGCUGUUGCUGUACAGCCCAGCCGUUCGGCAGGGCCCAAAACAGCAACAAGCCAGCAGGCCAGCCCAACGGCUGCAAGGCCCAGGCUGUUCCGGUCUCCUACCCGUCAGCGCCAGGCCUGCCCCCGUCGUCUCCACUCUCCUCCUCGGUCCGUUCUUCCGCCUCCCGUCUCCCGUCGCCUCCCACCGAAGGCCGAUCCGCCGCCCCGCACUCCGCCCGGCCCUGCCGCCCACUCCGCCUCCGGCCGGCCCCUCCCCCGCCGCCGGCCAGCCCCGCCCCCGCCGCCCUCCGCCCCGCCGUCGCCGCCCCGCCUCACCAGCGACGGGACCUCGCCGGAGCCGGCGUCGACGCACUGCCGCGUCUCCGCCCGCCAACGUGAGUAUCCCUCCAAUCUCCAAUCCUCUCCAUUCUCGAUCUGCACGUUUGAAUGCUGCUAGAUUAGGCAGUAAGAUCUCGUGUGCCUUCACUUUUGUUAUCUACACUAUUGUGAACCAUUAUUCUGCUCUGUAGUAUAAUUUUGUAGUAGGCAAACAAUCCAUUGCACCAAUUUUACUUACUGCUCAUCUUUAGCAAGAGGCAAAUUGUUCCAAAUCUGAAACUCAAGUGAUCACCUCUGAACUUGCAUACUACUGGUGUGCUUUUGUCAGCUGCACUGACCAAUACCUCUAAUUGAAAGGGCUGCAUUGUUGGCAAUCUCUGCCCAUUGUUGCAUUGCCUGCUUGCUCUGCCUUGCCCUCGGAAAUCAACUGACGCUGAUCUAUCUGACUGAACUGGACGGUGCACCUUCUAAUUGACAACGGCUGCAUCAUACUCACAGCCGCUACUCUGGACUGCCACAAAUGCAGCCAUCACCACCACGGGCAUUGCUAUUUUGCAUCUGCACUGCUGCUGCUUUCAUCUUGUUAGUGGCUAGUUUUAGUGAUAUAAACCACUGAAUCCACUCAGUAACAUUCAGUGGGUGCGAACUGGGAAGUGGCAACUAAUCAUUGCUAUUUGCUUCCUGCUAAAAUUAGCUGCCUUUAAAUUCUCUCCUCCCUUUUGACAGUAAAUAUUAUUAUUAUUCUUUUUUUUGCUCAUUACUAUUUACUUCCUGCAUUAAAAUAUGACAAUGUUUUGACUGCCUUUUAAAUUUUUAAAACAAACGCGCCAAGACAACUGCUAAGGCAAGUGACAUGUUCAUUACGUACAUCAUGGACCAAGAAUUUGAAAAGAGGGUAUGCCUAGCCAAAAAUUCCAAUAGAAAAUAUGGUGCAAUCCAAUAAAUGAUUCUCUAACAAAGAAUCAUGUGUGCACGAUAGUUUACAAACUGUGUUCUCAUAUUUUGAUAAAGAAAUCAGGGAAGCGUUAUCUCCAGCAUAAUUUGAGUAGCAGCAGCAGGAGCAUGGAACGAGCGAAAUAAUAGAUCGCAUACUGUCAACGCUUCCUUGAUUUCUUUAUCAAAAUAUGAGAACACAGUUUGUAAACUAUCGUGCACACAUGAUUCCUUGAUAUUGUAAUUUUUGCAUGACCUGAUAUAUGUUCGUUAUAAUUUAUGCAAGUUUUGAACUCACUUGUCGACUUUAAGGUAUUAUAUGAGACUUUUUAAAUGUAUUAUCAUACUUAUGGUUACUUUAUACUAGUAAAAUGAUUUCUGGAGAAUUUUGUUAACGAAUCAUUUAUUGGAUUACACCAUAUUUUCUAUUGGAAAUUUUGGCUAGGCAUACCCUCUUUUCAAAUUCUUGGUCCACGACGCGGCUUAUUUGGUGUUUUGGUUUGUGCGUGCAGACUGGGUGCUGAAGAGGAGAAGCUAUAGGCGCUGUCGAUGACGGCCAUGGAGUAGCAUCCCAAAGCUAGCACCUUUGUUUCCGCUCCUGCGCCAUUGCCUGCACUUCCCGCUUAGUUUCCCGAUGAUCCUCUGCAACGCAUUGAGGACCGUUCGCAGACUCCGGUGGGUUCCUCGGGUUCAGCUCAUUGUGGAGCACAGUGAGCCAUACCGAGCGGCACAUUUGUGUGCAACUGCUACCCGUUAUUGGGAUGUUCAAGAAUCAUCAGCUACCUCAAUUUGUGGGUUCACACCAAUUGGUCAUGAGUAUCAGUUGCGGCCUUACUCAGCUGCUCCCGCACGCCGUGGGGAGGAGAAACCCUUGGAUGAGGAUGAGGAUGAGGAGGAGGUGGUGGUCGAUAAGGAGCUCAAGCGAAUGGAGAGGAGCCGGGUUUUCUGGACUGCACAGCAGACUUUCAUGGAGUACCUCCAUUUCACACGGGGGCUGCCCUUUGCCGAUGCUGAGCAUAUAAGCAAGCACUCGCCUGCCUUUGUGAGCAAGCUGCUGGACCAGGUGAAGGAUGCUAUCAAGGACCCUGUGGAGGGGGGUGAGGAGGUGGUGUUCAUGUCAAAGGUGAAGAAGACUGAGGUGAGGGAUCAGAGGGCCACUAAGGCAUUGGUGCGGCUGUUCCGGUACCACCCUGUCAACGAGUUCGAGCCGUUCUUCGAGAGCAUGGGCCUCAAGCCAGGCAAGUAUGAUUCCUUUCUACCUCGGGAUCUCAUGUUUCUUGCCGAUGAUGAGACAUUGCUGGAGAACUACCACUUUCUUUGUAAUUAUGGGUUUGCGCGUACUAAGAUAGGGAGGAUAUACAUGGCUGCUGUGGAGUUUUUUAGAUCUGGUGACAAUGUGCUUCCAUCUAAGCUAAGUGCUCUUGAGGAUCUAGGGUUCAGUAAAACAACUGUGAUAAAACUUGUGACCUCUUGCCCUGUCAUAUUGGCACGUGACCUAAAUGCUGAAUUCAAGAUCAUGCAGUGGCUAGAUGAUUGUGGCAUUAAGAGAGACUGGAUCGGUCAAUUCUUAUCUGUGCAGAAGUCAUAUGAUUGGAAAAAGAUGGUUGAAAUUCCUCAAUUUUUCACUGAAUUGGGAUUUGAUAAGGAGGGUAUUGGUAAAUUGAUCAGCCAAAACCCAGAUUUCCUGUUGGAUGGUUCUGGAAAGGUACUGUUUAGAGUGGUUACCAUCAUGCUGAAAGCAGGUUCUGAAAAAAAGGAUCUAUUUAAUCUUUUCCUGGACUUCCCAGAUGUACCAGCCAGCGAUUUCGCGAGGAACAUACAGAGUGUUAUACUAUUGUUAGCUGAUAUUGAUGUAUGUGAUGAGGAUAUUAAGCAGUUUGUAGUAGCAAAUGCGUCAAUCCUUGGUUCUGCUCGAGUGAAGGCGGCCAACAGCAUUCUUACAAAUCUCAGUGUGGGAAAGAGGCGUUUGUGGAAGAUUAUAAAGGAGGAUCCACGGCAAUUGAUGAAAUACAAAUUAGGGACAAAGCUCAGCCGCCUGCCAUCUUGUGACAGGAGUACUGACCAAUCAUUGGAGGAGAAGGUAAAAUUUUUGAAAGGCAUAGGAUUUGUGGAAGGCUCUGAGGAUAUGAAGAAGGCACUCAAAUCUUUCCGUGGUAAGGGUGAUGAACUCCAAGAUCGGUUUGACUUUUUGGUUAGGACUGGACUUUCGCCAAAGGAUGUAGUGAACAUGAUCAAGAUAGCUCCACAUGUUUUGAAUCAGAAGAUACAUGUCCUUGAGUCCAAGAUAUCUUUCCUUUUAAAUGAGACAGCUUAUCCCCUAAGUGCUCUAGUUACGUUCCCCUCAUUCUUGUCAUUCACUGUCGAGAGAACCAAAGUUAGGUUUUUAAUGUACAAUUGGCUGCAAGAAAGGGGGGUGGUUGCUCCCAAUUUUGCGCUAGCCACUUUCCUAGCUUGUUCGGAGAAAGAUUUUAUUAAGCAUUAUGUAAGAAAACAUGAAUUGGGUCCAGAGGUCUUUGAGAAGUUCAAGAGGGAGGUGGCUGAAACCAAAAACAUGCAUUGUACUUCAGAUGAUUAGUACGAUAUUAAUUGGUAUUUUGAAUUAGUUCCCUGAAUAUUGGCAGUUUUUCCUUUUGUUUUAUUUUACUUUUGUCUGUGCCUACAGGUUUGCUUGUUGGUUUGGUGCAGACCAAUAGACGCCCUACUUUGUGUAGACCUAACUCUUUCAUAAGCUGUCCAAUUAGCCCAUGUCAUUUGACAAUAUCUGUGCUUUUAAAGGCAUUUGAUGGCACUACUUCUAGCUGUUAACCCACAAAAAUGUUUGCGUGAGGUUCUCAAGGCUUUGAAUUAAAUAGUUUGUUAAAUUGUUUGGCGCUGAGUCUUAUGUCAACAUGUUUUCGAGAACAAGGAUACUGACAUAGGAGAUCAUAGUUUGGAAAGGUCUGUCAGGAAGGACUUGAUCGACAGGGCAUUGUUAGCUCAAAAACUUUCAAUGAACAAGAAGGAUCAGAUCUCAAUCUACAAAAUUGUGCAAAUGAUCCUUCACGUGUGGAUGACUUUCAUGUCCAAAUUUCUGAGUCUGCCAAUGAUUACUAUCCAUUUUUGUGAAAUUCUGAGUCCAUUUCUGUAAUCUAUACAUUGUCUGUACUGUAAUACUUCAAACAUGAUUAGCUCAUUAGCGUAUCUCUGAACAUUGUUUCUUGAAUGAUGAAUGGGGUCUGUUGUUAAUUACACAGUACUGCUUUGUUUGGUGAACUAAUUUGCUACAUGCUUGCCUUUAUUGGCAAGACAGUUCAGUGAUUAUGUGUUCAUGAUAGAUCUCCAUUCUACAUUAGAUAUGGUGUCCUUUAAAAUGCAGUAUACGCACUUCAAUUUCAAAUGCUCUGCUCAUAUCAGUUUCAGUAUAUUGUCCUGUUUUCAACAGAGUAGUUUGAUAAACUGAUGAACGAUCAGGUGAAGGCAUUUGCUGCUGAGGCAUCAUUAACAUUCUGCCCUCAGAAGCUACCUGUGUCCUAGUUUUUUUCUAAAAAAAAAUAAAGUGAGUAUAUAGUGGCAUGUACUCCCUUAGUUCCGCAAAGACUCUAAAAUAUGUCCUCCCUUCCUUCCGCAAAGACUCUAACAUUUGUCCCACAAAGGGUAUCAUUUUACCUCCUAGUAAACCUCACUAAUUAAAGCAACACUCACACUAAUAAAAAAAGCAUAUGAAGAAGCGCGUAGAGCCAAUCAAAUGAUCAAUUGAUGUUAUUUUCCUAGUUUCAAUGCAGGUGCAUUUAUUUAGGAUCCAGAAGAUAGAACAAUUUUCAAUCACGAUUAGUAUUAGUUAUUAGGUCAGUCUCAGUGCAUGGUUUCAUCACAUUGUUACCAAGACUACCAUGUCAUCUUUUCAAUGAAACGAAACUGUCACUCUUAAUGUGCAAUUUCAUCAUGCAACAAUUAAUUUUUGUAUAGAGUUAUGAUCAAUUGUAUCAUGCGAUGAAACUACAAUAUUCUCAGCGCAAGUUUCAUUAGGUUUCAUAGAACUAGGUAACUGUGACAGCUGGGUUUAAAUUUCAUUGUGUUUCAUGGGACUAGGUGACUGUGCUAGCUGGGUUUCAAGGCGUGAAACUCCCUUGUUCUUUCUCCUCAUAAUUAGGUUGCCAAGUCAGCAAAACUGCUGAUGUGACAUAGGAUUUAAUGUCCAUGAAACUCCACUGAGAAUGACGGGGCAACAUAGAACAAAACCUGCGUACAAAGCCUGAUGAACAUAUGCAUCUUGUUUCUUCAGUUUGCAGAACAAAACCUCUUGUAGUCUUAGCUGAUUGCCUUAUAGUACUAGAAUUAUAUAUGUUAGAAUUAUAAGUUACCUUCAGGUUUUAAAUUGUUGGUCUUUGUGAAUGGUUUUGGACAUGCAGGUAGGUCUUUGAUGUUGCAAAAAGGAGGUCAAGGAUGAAAACUCUAUUGUCAAAAAUUGUGUAGUAAACUCUAUUGUCAAAAGGACACGUGACUCCGAAAUAAAUUCGUGGCGUUUCACAUUAUUUCUUCCAAACCCCACUCCCUGUCACUCUGGCGGAUCAACACCACACGCGACGCCUCGUGAUCCUCGCGGCACGAAUCUCGGAGCAAAAUCGACGUCGUUGAAAUCUCCGGCCAUUCGUAUCCCUCCUGAUUCACCGGGCCCACCAUCCCGUCGCCGUUUAAAUGUUUCGUGCACAUUCAUUGAUCGACUCGACUCCACCACCACACCGUCUCUCUCCGCAGUUCGCACUCAGCAUUGUUGUUGGCGCUCUCACCGGCGAGCAGCGAACAGAGAGGUGCGAUCUCUUGCUCCAGCUCCCCACUUCUUCCCCGCCUCCGACUCGCCGGCAACCGCGGCCUCGCCGCGUUUGAUCUUUGCCUUCAAUGGGCGCCGCCAACUUUAGGUUGCCCUUUUGGUGUCGGCGAUUCUGUUGCAGAGUUGCAGGCCGUCCCCGAGCGAAAGGGUUUUUUUUUUUGUGUUGUGUGGUUGGUUGGUUCAAGUUGGGGUAUCUCAGUUGCGAGAGUUGCUAAUAAUAGAUGUGAUGUUCCUCGAAAGAAAAUAGAUGUGAUGACCUUUCUUCUGUAGAAUUUUGCAUUUUAUUUUUAGAAAUAAAAGGUGGAGAAGUUGGCGUGAUGCAGACAUGUCCGAUGAUGAUAGACGAUCGUUUUAUUUGGGGGAGAGUUUUUAUUGCCUUUGACUAGAACCAUCGUGUGCUAUAUAUGCAAAACAAAGUCUUUAGGAAGUGAUUUGUAUCACGGAUUUGAAUUGUAUGCCCAAUACUAUGUUGUGUAGCCUUCCCUUGUCAUUUCGUUUAUAAGCAAAAUAAUAUAUCACACUCUGCAUUUGUUGGUUUCCGCUUUAAAAACAAGGGCAAUUCAAAAAUGGCAGAACGGUUCGUAGAGCACACAACAGGUUUAUUUAUAAAAAAUGCAUUGAUAGAUGAGAGGUUCCUAUUGCGUAUCUAACAACCUGUUGGUGCCAACUAAUUAGAUGCUUUACUUUUAAAAUUAUACGAAAGCUCAUACAUAAAGGAGCAGCAUGUCGAUCGACCUUUGUGACUGUUACAUUCAUCUUAUUUAUCCUGCCACCUGUUUGAGUCGUUGACAUUUUUGGCUACUUUUCUAUAGCCCAAACAAAAGUCAGAUGAAAGCAUCUGCUGUUUAUUUAGUUGCUGGUGGAAAUUAAUGGCUGCAUGCUCUGUUCAUUCAAUUAGAUAGAUCGAUGCAAUAUUGUAGAUUCUCUGAAGUCUGCUCUAGCUUCUUUAACAUGCAUUACAGUCUUCUUUGCUGAUUUGGAGUUAGCCUGUUGGUGGUUCAAUAUAUUCCAAUAGAAAGUGCUCAGGAAAAGGAGAACUGCAUAUUCACUUUAUCUCUUCAAUGUACAGAACUGAGUGAACCAUGUAAAUUUUUAAUGAUUGCUCAAAAACUUGGUAUGCUAGGCUUAAUGCGACACCGGCCUUGUUCUGUCAUUCUGUACAAAUUGUAUUUAAGCAGUAGAUUUCUUUUCUUGCUUCUACUGUUUUUAAGAUAACAAGUUCCUGCUUCUACUACCUGCUGGAUGAGUUGGCUUUUUUUCUUUUGUUGAUGCAUAGCCUAAAUAAAAGAUGGAUUAAGGCAUUUUUGUCUAAGAAAUUGUGAUGCUUACCAUGCUCAUUCAGAAUGCAUAUCUUCGUGAGGAGCCCCACCGGCAGAACAAUCCGCCUCCGGGUCCAACCAUCAGAUACCUUGCGUACCGUUAAGGCGAAGAUUCUCGAACAGCACCGCCUUGUCUUUGAUGGAGAGCAGCUAGAUGAAAACCUUACAUUGGCUGAUUAUGACAUCCAGCAUCAAUCCACGCUUGACCUCCAAGAAAAGAUGCAAAUCUAUGUAAUGGAGACGCUAAAAGGCAAGACCAUCACACUUGAGGUUGACAACUUAGAUACUAUUGACAACGUGAAGAGCAGGAUUGAAUAUACCGAGGGAUUUCCCAAGGGUCAGCAGUGCCUCAUCUUCGACAACAAACAGUUGGACGACAGCAGCACCUUGGCGGACCACAACAUUUGGAAGGAGUCCACCGUUCUCCUUGUCCUCCACCCAUUUCCAAGAGGUAGGAUGCAGAUCUUUGCGAAGACGCUGUACGGAACAACCAUCCCUCUUGAGGUUGAGAGCUCAGAUACCAUUGAUGCUGUCAAGCUGAAGAUCUACGAGAAGGAUGGCACUCGCCCCAAACAGCAACGCCUCAUCUUUUUUGGCAGAAAAAUGGAGGGCAGCCGCACCCUGGCAGACUAUAACAUCCAGCACCAAUCUACCAUCCAUGUGGUGCUCUGCCUUUGCGGUUGUUGAGAUAUUUAUAAUGAUCGCUGAAAAGUACACGAUCUUGUGCUUAAUCGUUUUUCUUUCUUCCUGGCGCUUCGUCGCUCAUAAAGACUUCCUCUUUAUCAUGGCACAAUCUCAUGCGGGUUUGUUAAAAAAAAAUCGCUGAAGACAGAUCUGGUUCUGGUGCAGCCUUGCAGGCCAUAAAACUUAUUUGGUUUCAUCUGCUGAUGCUUGCUAUGAUCCUGUAAUAAUGUGUUUAUCAUAAUGCAGUGUUCCCUGCAUUACAAAUUUGUAUUUAAUUUUCUUGCUUUGUCCUUAAAAUUACUCUUUUCCUUUAUUUUCUGCAAGAUGUGUAAUUUAUAUCUACAAGAUUUUGAAAUAGAUGAAACUUCUCGGAAAUAAUUUGUAAUUUUCAUUUAUAUUUUCAUUGAUUACUGGAGAUGGAUCUGGUGCACACGAUAAAAAUUUAUAUGUUCCAUAUGCUGAUGGCUGAUGCGGGUUGUAAUAUCCUUUAUCCUGCUUCCUUUUUUUAACCAUGCCAGGAUAGAUUUUGGCUCACAACUGUUGUACACCCACAAAACAUAAGCAAAAUGCAUCAUUUGCUUCAAAAUUUCUAGGACUUCUGGACCUACCAUCACAAUUCAAGUUAGCGAAUGAAUCGGCACCGAGUUCUUCCGGACGACUUUUCAUGCGUAAUUAGUCUGUAUAGUACAUUAGGAGAAAAAAAGGAUGGACAUUGGAAUAAUAACACGUGGCUGUCAUGGAGACUACGCAGAGAGAGAGAGAAAGUAGAAUUUAAUUGGAAAUUUCUUGUGAAAGCUAUGGCAAUAACCUGUAUAGCAACUGACAGGCGUUCAACUAAGAGGGCUGGAUCGAAAUGCAUGGACGAUGAUGGUUUAGUUUACUCAUUGUUGGAUCCAUGAGCUGAAGUUCGGGUCACAUCAGAUAUUGGAUUGCUAAUUAGGAGUAUUAAAUGUAGACUAAUAAUAAAAAUAAUUGCAUAAAUGAGGGCUAAUUCACAAGACGAAUCUAUUAAGCCUAAUUAAUCCAUAAUUAACAUAGCUUCCUUGCCAUCCCACCUACACACCACAUCUAUCUAUAUAGGGGAUGCUAUCCUUUUGUAUUAACUCAUGGAAGACCCUUUAAUCCGGGUUGGUAAUUCCAACCGGGAUUAAAGACCUCAUUUAAUCCCGGUUGGUAAUACCAACCGGGAUAAAAAGUUUCGAUGGAUUUAGUCUUUUCCCAGCCACACAUGGGGAUCCUUUUUAUCCCGGUUGGAAACACCAACGAGGAUAAAAAGGGUCCGAGGACUUUAUUCUUUUUUCAGCCACCCGUAGGGGAUCCUUUUAUCCCGGUUAGAGUUUCCAACCGGGAUUAAAGGACCCCCUUUUAUCCCGAUUGCUUUAGUCCCAGGUGGUAAUACCAACCGGGACUAAAGGGUGACCUUUUAGUCCCGGUUGAUCUUACCAACCCGGACUAAACAAUCCCCCACGUGUGCCUGGAUUUUUCAACCGGGACUAAAGGAUUCCCACGGAUGGCUGAUUUUUGAACCGGGACUAAAAGAUCCUUUUAGUCCCGAUUGCAAAUACCAACCGAGAGUAACUUGUAGCGCACCCCUUUUCUCCCGAGCUGAAAUUAAACCGAAACUAAAGAGGUGGUAUCUAAAGUCAGUUCUAACAUUAUAACACUUUGACGGUGGUGUAGCGUACGACGCCGCGCUAGAGCCGCUGGAAGCAAUCAUGCGAGCUGACUGAGGACGUCAUAGUCGGUGUCGAGUUAAGGAUGAAGUUUAUCGCAGACGCUGGACCCGCGCAGGACCUCGCAGAUCAACAGUCAUCUGUCAGGGCACGAUCAACAGUCUAAACAACUGUCAUCUGUAAGUGUUUUGAAAAUCACACAUAGAGUGUUUUAACAGACAUCUUUAUACAAUGACUUGUCUAUUAUCUGUAGAUCAUUUAAUUCGUAAAGGGCACAUAGUUUAUGGUGAUGAAGUUCAUCUUUGUAGCUAUUUUGUUGCUUGUUUUGAUCUUAAAUUUCUUGUUGAGAUACAAAUAUAAUAUAAUUUUUGUUAAUAGAUAGAAUGAUAUUAUGAUUCACUAAAGUACAAAAUACAUAAUAUAAAUCGUAUGUUUUUACAUAAAAUGAUGGAUUCGAAGACUAACAUUCAAAAACAUUUGACAUUCAGAACUCUGGCCUGCAGGCCACGCGUGCUCUUGCUUAUACCAGUUAUCAUGCCGUUCAGCCAGCAAAGCAUGUUCAUUGUAUACCUUUUCCUCUCUCACCUUAUCCUUUCACAUGAGCCCAAGCCCACCCGUCUUCUAUGUUUCUAAUCUCUCUCUCUACCUCGUGUGCUUGGCUCGCUGUGCAUCGUGAUCUUGCUUGUGAACAAACUUUGCGCUGCUUCCCCUCACACAUAUAUAUGAGCCACAGGCUCUCGCUCGACGGACAGGUGGCUCUCGCUCACACAUAUGCUUCCCCUGUAUCUCCCGCUCUUUCACAGUCGCCCUUUGCACUCGAGUCAGCGUGAUGUGGAUGACAGAGCGGCCCGACGAGGUUGCCUAGGUGGGGUGCGGCGGGGUGCUGCCGGCGAAGGUCGGCUCAGCUCGAUGCAUCUAUCGGUGCAUGGCAGCGCGGCGUGGUGCGGGAGGAAGGGUGCGGCGGGUUGUUACCGGCGAGGCAAGGCUCAAUGCUUCCAUCGGUGGUAGCGCAGCACGGGAGACGGAUUUGUCUAAUUUCACAGUGGAUUCGGAGCCGUCGGCCACCGCUCAUACAACAAGAAUGAGGUUGUCCGCAGCACGUCGGAGCACGAGUCGCUGCCGUCGUCUUGCGUCCCUCUCUCUCCUUUACCACUGAUCCGCGUCAACAAAACAAGCCUACGUGGCAUCAUAUAAAAAUGGAAUUAAUUGCCUUUGUACGUGCCUUAGGCCUCCUCUGGCAUGUGUGCGAGAUUCAGAGGCGCUCGCAAAUGACAGUUCCUUUAUUGUAAUAGAACAGAGAUGUAUCAGCUUUUGAUGCUUUAAAGCCCAGCUGACACAACUUAUUACUCAGCCGUGAAUACCAUGCUCUUGGUGCUUGUUUAAGCCCAUAUAAGGUCUUGUCAAGUUUGCAGAUAUACCCAUUCUUUGACUUGUCCUCAUAACCAGGUGGUUGUUUCAUAUACACAUCUUCUUCUAGAUACCCAUGAAGAAAAGCAUUUUGUACAUCGAGCUGACGUAGGCUCCACCCUCUAGAGACAGCAACGGACAAAAUAGUUCUGAUAGUAGCUGGUUUCACAACUGGGCUGAAAGUAUCCUCAUAAUCAAUACCAUAGCGUUGUCUAAAUCCCUUUGCUACUAGCCUGGCUUUGUAUCUAUCCAAACUCCCAUCAGAUUUACGUUUCACUUUAUAUACCUAUAUACCCAUUUACAGUCAAUGACAUUAAUACCUUUCUUUGGUGGAACUAAGUGCCAAGUUUUAUUAUUAAUCAAAGCAUCAUAUUCUGCAUCCAUGGCUAGCUUCCAAUCUCUACUGUUCAGUGCUUCAUCAAGGGACUGUGGUUCACCAGAUGCGGUGAAACAUCCAUACCUGACGGUACCGUCUGUGUAGACUUUCGGCUUGCGAAUACCAUCACGAAGUCGAGUUCGUGGUCGCGGUGGAGUCUGAGUCUCUGUUGCAACUGUAGAGGGUCCAGCCACAGGGGGUCCAGCUUCUGGUGCCGGCACAAGGGUUCCAUCCGCAGCAGCAGAGCUGUUGAUGUCGGCAUCUGUGCCCCCCGUGCCUGCGGCAGGAUGGGACAUCGGUGCCGGCCCGGGCGAAGCGGCAGGAGGCACCACGUCAUCGGCAGUACGCGUGACCCCGCUCGGUUGGCGCACAGGGGAUGGCGUACCGGUGCGCGUAGCAGCCACUGGGACGGAAGUUGAAACUGCAGGGGCAGUACUGGCAUCAGCAGGAUCAGCAUGAUGGAAUGCCGAAUCUGCUUUAGGUUCCGUGUUGGGAGGCAAAGAGCUCCCCCUGUUAUCACACGCUGCAUGUGCACCAUCAUUAGUGGGGUUAGUGGAAUCAAAUACGUGAUCAACUAGCUGUUCCGUUUCAAGAGAGGGUACAAGGCCGGGUGGGAGGAGUGCAAUUUCUGCACGGAGGCGGGCACCUGCGUUGGAGUGUAGAGUAGAAAAGGGAAAAACUUCCUCGUCAAAGAUUACAUCUCUAGAAAUAUAUACCCGGCCGGAUUGAAUAUCAAGGCACUUAUAGCCUUUGUGAAGAUUGCUAUAACCCAAAAAGGCACACUGCUUAGAACGAAGUUCAAGUUUAUGGCGAUUGUAGGGUCGGAGAUUGGGCCAACAUGCGCAACCAAAGGUGCGAAGGGAAAAAUACUCUGGUUUUUGUUUGAGUGAACGCUCAAAAGGUGUUUGAUUAUCAAUGACUUUGCUAGGCAAACGAUUGAUAAGAAAUGUGGCAGCCAUAAAGGCCUCAUCCCAAAAUUUUAGGGGCAUUGAAGCAUGAGCUAGGAGGGAUAACCCAACCUCAACUAUGUGACGAUGCUUACGUUCAAUGACCCCAUUUUGUUGAUGAGCAUGGGGACAUGAUACAUGAUGAAUGAUGCCAACUUGGGAGAAGAAACUAUUUAAUUUUUUAUAUUCCCCGCCCCAAUCAGUUUGCAUAGCAAGAAUUUUUCGAUCAAAUUGUCGCUCAACCAUUUUUUGAAAUUCAUGAAACUUUUGGAAAACUUCAGAUUUAUACUUGAGAAAGUAAAUCCACGUAAAACGACUGAAGUCAUCAACAAAGCUAACAUAGUAGCGUUUUCUGCCCACAGAUUCAACUGCAGGACCCCAAACAUCGGAAUGAACAAGUUCCAAAGGAAAACUAGUUGAGCUAACAGAUCUUUUAUAAGGUAGCUGAUGACUCUUUGCUUGCUGACAAGCAUCACAAACUGAUUUCUUAUUGGACACGGAGGAACAAGAAAGAUUAUUACUGUCUAUGACCUUGGUAACAAUAGGAAACGAAGGAUGGCCUAGGCGAUUAUGCCAUCUAGACACGGUUGGCUUGUCAACUGCAUUUGCCUGCUUGACUGAAGAAUUGACAGGAAGGGGAUACAAUCCACGACGACAUGGCCCCUUAAGAAUCGUGUUCCUCGUAGCCUGAUCCUUGAUAAGAAAAAAAUCAGGAUGAAACUCAAUAAAGGCAGAAUUAUCUUUGGCAAGACGAUGAACGGAGACUAGAUUCUUUGCAGCUUUAGGAACAUGAAGGACAUUGUUUAGAUGCAAACUACGGGAUUGAGUUGGAACAGUAGUAUGACCAACGUAUUUAAUUUCCAUACCUGAACCAGAUGCAGUGUGAAUCUGGUCAUUUCCAUGGUACUUCUCCCUCAUCGUCAGCUUGUUUAGAUCACUUGUAACGUGAUCCGUUGCUCCCGUGUCGGUGUACCAGUUGGUGUCGACAUUGUAGGCGUUCAUGGCGAUGGCGGCGUUGACGUGGCGUUCUUCUGGGACAUAAUUUUCAUCAAACCGAUGCCAGCACCGGCUCGCCCUGUGGCCUGUCUUGAAGCAGAUCUGACAGAGCGAUGGAUCAUCAGACCCACUCGCCCCAUCAGGUCGUGGCUGCCGCCCGCCGUUACGCUGCUUCGAUGCACCGUUUCCUCGGCCACGCGCCUGGCCGCGCCCACGCUGACCACGGCCACGGGCAGUGCCCGAGCCACGGUUGCCAUGGCCACGCCCACGGUUUGCCAUGUGAGCAUAGGAGCCGCCAUCUUGCAGUUCCAGCCGGGUCUCAAAACUGAGCAGCUGAGCAUACAGGUCAGGAAUCGAGAUGGGAUCCAAUCUAGUAGUGACUGAUGUCACCACUGGAUUGUAAUCGGCAUCAAGACCAUUGCAGAUGUGCGCCACUAGUUCUUCAUCAUCUAGAGCCUUGCCGACGGCAGCCAUUUCGUCUGCAAAACCUUUCAUCUUGGAAACAUAUUCUGUGAUCGACAUGGUACCUUUCUUCGUAGUGGUGAGGGCAAGCCUCACAUUCAUCGUCUUGGCGCGGGUCUGCGCGGAGAACAUCUUCUCCACUGCUGACCAGGCUUGUCCUGCCGUCUCGGCAGUGUUGAUCUGCGCCUGAACAUCCUUCCCCGCACUGGACAGGAGGAACCAAAGGAUCUGCUGAUCCCGAGCAUACCAUGCCUCAAACGCAGGGUUGGGGUUGGUGACGGUCGUGCCGUCUGCCUUCUUCUCGACGAUCUCAGCAUCAGGGGCCUUGGUCUUGCCAUUGAUGUGCCCCUCGUAGCAAGCACCGCGGAUGGCGGCGAGGACCUGCGCUUUCCAUAGCGUAUGGUUGGUCUUGGACAACUUCUCGGUCACUUGGAAACCGAAGAAGGGAUUGGUGGUGGUGCUUGAACUCGACGCCAUGGAACCCUAGGCUCUGAUUACCAUGUGCGAGAUUCAGAGGCGCUCGGAAGAUGAGAGAAACGCCGGGACGAGCGUGUUGCGUGUUAAUAGAUCAAUAGCUGAAAAAGCCCCAGCCGUGGCUUACAUAGGAGGCGUAGCACCUAGAUAAAUGGCCAGGAGAUAAUUGAGGAGAUAAAUUAGCAACUACCUAUCUCUUUCCUUUACAAGUGCUAACUACCAUAUCUCCUGGCCUACUCAAUCUUUGGUGUACACGGUUCACAUUACAAUCAUGCCACGAUACGUAUAUAUUUGGUAUUCUAUCAGCAUGGACCUCCGGCCGCAGGGGCAGGUCCACUUGUAUUCAAUGGUAUUCAGUUGAAUAUCCAAUAAUGAAAAAAAAAGUUCAUAUAUAUAGUGUAUUCUAGUUAUAUGUAUGGAAAAAGCAAAAAUAAAGAAGCUAACACAGUGAAACAAAAUAAAAAGGCCUACCAGCGGACAUCUUCCCUCUCGGGCUCUCCCUUGCCCAAUUUGCCACUCGGCCUCUCUAAUCAGCCAGGCCACGCACAGCAGAGGGCAUAGGCACCAGGGCACAGCACGCACAAACCACACAUCCUGACAUCCACAUCCAGGCGCCUCUGCUUCAACCCUAGCCGGCGGCGGCCGGCGGGGAGGGCGGAGCUCGGCGACGGGGAGGGGGAGGGUGGAGCGCCGGAGCUCGGAGGCCUGCGCCGCUGCGCGGAGCUGUGGCGGCGGCACCGCGGCAGCCGCGCCACCUACUGGACGUGGACGGCCGGGCGCCGGGCGGCCGGCGCUACUGGACGGCCGGCGGGCGGCGCGCUCCGCCGCGACCCCGGUGGCCUCCGUGUGGCAUGUGACCGCAUCCCCGACUCCCCGUGACCCGUCCCCGACCGCGUGGCCUGCUUGAUUAGAGAGACCUGAUUCCUCUAAUUGUUUGUGAAAUUGUCAAAUUGAGGUGAGCAUGUAGCAUAUAAUUUUUCUCUGUUGUGAGCGGAGCAACAUCAUGUGCACUUUUGUGAUCAUUCAUGUCUACUAGCAAACAUGUUGACCAUUUAGGCCUAUCUUUUCCAUUAUCGUUGUGACUAGGCAGCUAGUAGCACAUUGAUGUUUCUUGCAGGCUAAAAACUGUUAUCAAAUACCAAUCUUCGAGAAUCUGUUGUCAUUAAUAAUUCCCCAACUGAAACCAAUGGGUCGCCUAACAUUUUGAAAGGGCUGGGCAGCUGGCAAUCGGGUGUUCUAUGCAGAACUGCAGCUAAUGUAUGCCCUGUUUUCUAUAUUGUAUAUCAUUAGCUGUGAGAUCUAAUUAAAAAAAUUGAAAAGCUACAAUUGAAAGGUUAAGAAGAUUAGUUGUGUGAUAUAUAAUCAUAGAAAAUAUGGGUUUACACCAACACAUUUUGAUUUAGAUCUGCCAGAUAUGUUUCAUAUUGUGUGCCUAAUGUUCUGCUAAUGUUGAUAGCAAAGCACUCUCAUUUUGAUUACCAUUUUGUUGUUUUAUCCUCUAUUUAUUUCACAUGUUGCCAUUUUGAUAUGUUGACUAUUAGUAGCUGGACAAUUUCAAGUUGUGAUCAAUUUGUUAAUCAAUGAUGUUACCACUUAAUUCUGUGUUAUAAAACUAUAAUUUAGGCUGUUAAUUUUUUUUCUUGCCAUCUGCAAUUUUGAAUACCCAUGAUCCAAAUCCUUAGCCCGCCUCUGCCUUGCACAAACGUCACAAACUGCGCCUCGUCCGUCGGAGCCAAUGUCGAGGCUCCAAAAUCUGAGACUUUGACGGUGUAGUCGUCGUCGAUGAGUAUGUUUGCCGAUUUCACGUCGCCGUGGAUGAUCGGCGGCGAGGCCCAGGAGUGCAGGUAAGCGAGGGCUUCCGCGGCCUCGUGCGCGAUCUUCAGGCGCGUCGCGAAAGAGCCGCGUGGCCCGUGGUUGUGACGGCCGUGGAGAGCGUGCCGUUGGGGAUGAACUCGUAGACGAGCAUGGGCACCUCCACCUCGAGGCAGCAGCCGUAGAGCUUGACGACGUUCCUGUGGUUGAUCUGGGAAAGUAUGAGCAUCUCCUUCCCGAACUCCUCCUCCUGCCUCUCGCUGAUCUGCCUUGUAGACGGUGCCAUUCCCUCCCUUGCCCAGCACAUUUCGCUCGUUGAAAUUAUCAGUUGCCUCUUCAAGCUCUGCUUUGGUGAACAAAGUGAAGGAAAUCCCCUGUUUUGAUUUCAUUUCCUCCAACAGCAAGAGGCCUCCGUGCUGCUUGAAGUACCUCUUCUUCACAGCGGCAAGGCUCCUCUUCUGGUGGAACAGGUAGGCUCCAGACAGGUAAUUACCAGCUAGCCUGCUAAUUUGAUUGUAAUCCAGCUCUAAUCCACACCAAUCCACAUCAAGUUAAUUUAUUUUUUCAACCCAACUCAUCCUAUAUUUAUAUUAUCUAAACUUAAGUCAAUUCAUCCUACUAGUUGAUAGAACCAUAGGUUUGCUAUAAAAAAAAUCAUGGUUUGCUAUAUAAAUCUAUGGGCUCAUAUAAAAAACUUGUAUAUAUUUGAAAUAAAUGUGAGUCCGACAUGUGGGUCCUACGUCAAGAGCUGAACUCUAAAACUAAAACAUCAUGUUCACACCUUAAAAUUUUAACGAAAUUGAUCGAAAUUUAUUGGAGUUGACAGAGUUUGACUGCCCGCUACUUUGUGCUAAAUAGUAUGGCUAAACAUACAUUUAGGCCCCAUAUUAAGAGCCGGACCCUAGAAUUAAAACGUCACGUUCACACCUUAAAAUUUUAACGAAAUUCAUCAAAAUUUAUUGGAGAUGACUCAAUUUGACUGUCCACUACUUUGUGUAAAAUAGUAUGACUAAAUAUACAUGUGGGUCCCGCGUCAAGAGCCGGAUCAUAGAAUUAAAAUCUUGUGUUCACACUUUAAAAUUUUAGCGAAAUUGAUCGAAAUUUAUUGGAGAUGACUUAGUUUAAGUGUCCGCUACUUUGUGCAAAAUAGUAUAGCUGGGCAUAUUUAUGGGCCCCACGUCAAGAGUCGGACCAAACUACAACCUCCCUUUCACACUUUAAAAUUUUAACGAAAUUGAUUGAAAUUUGUUGAAGAUGAUUUAGUUUAAUAAUUAGCUACUCCAUACGAAAAAGCAUAGUUAGACUUAUAUGUGGGCCCACAUUAAGAAUCGGAUCCUUAAAUUGUUUUGUGAAUCAAAUCAAUGCAACCCACUCUAAACCACUCCCAAACUAUUUCCUCUUAGGAGGAAUCCAAACCAAACCAAACCAUUUGAUGAAUUAGCAUAUUAAUAACCAAUCUAAAUAUUCAAAAGAAAUCCAAUCCAUUAAAAUCAUUAAACCCAGUUCAAUUAGCAGGGCCCAUGCUAGCAUAACUAUGGCCAUGCUAACAGCCGUAGCAAGGUCGCAGGAUCAGAUGUUGUCGAGCAGAUGAGAUGGUAAUUGAGGUAACGGAGAUGACGACUUACCAGGCAAAAAAUCAUAUUUUUUUUUUGUCGGGGUGCAUUUCAUUUCAAAAGGAUCAUAAUGUGUUUUAUUGGGUCAUCUGGUGCAAUAGUAUGAUCCUAUAGUAUUAUGGCAUACUCCUCCGCAGAUGCCUGGUUUUAGGCACUCAUCAAUAUCUGCAGCAACAUCAUACUUUAGUGAUACAGAAAUUAACAAAAUGAAGACGAUACCAACUGUCGAGACUUCAAUGUUUCUUCAGAUAACUAGAAAUCUCCAUGUUUAGGUGCCGUUCCAGCUCUCAGUAGUUUUUUUCUCCUUUGCGAUGAGCCUAGUUUGGUUUGUAAGUUUGAUAGUUUGUUUCUCACUAGCCCUUUCAGUUUUUUUCCCCUUUUCCAUGGUUGUAAGACUCUGUAUUUUUUCCCACUCUCUCUUAAUGAGACGUGCUAUGCACAUUCUCGAAAAAAAGAGAAAUCUCCAUGUUAAUUGGAGAGGAGAGCAAUAAAAUAAAGGAAAUUUUAUGCAAACUAGUUUAUGGAAAGUUUUUGUUUUCAUCAGUAAUCCACAGUGAAUUUCAGUUUGUCACUGUUCUUCCUAAAACGCGGACCCAAGCCCAGAUUUGUCAGUGAGAAAACCUAUUGCACGGCUGGAAAAGAACACCAUGUAGUGGCAAAAACAUAAAUUGCAUGUAAAUAAUUAAAGACAGAAAACAGUUCUAUUCUCGCAUCCAUUGUCUUAUUCCCGUACGUUAGUGAUAGUAGAAACGCGUCAUGUUUCAGGCAUUGUUCAGUGAAGUAUGACAAAAGUCAAAAUAAGGAAGAAAAAAAAAGAUUCUACCUCUGCGGAAAGCCUAAUAGUUUAAGAGAUCUGACAUGCAAGAGUUAGUACUGAGUUGUGAGUAUUUUCUCUUCAGUAGCUUAAUGAUUUUUCAGGCAUGGACUUGAUUCAUGCAUCAUAUAACACUAUCUCCGAAGAAUGUUAUAAACUUGAAAAUGUCAGAAAAAUUACGACCUAGAGCAUAAUAUGAAUCUCCAAGACCAAACGAUAAAGAUCUCUAUUGUUGAGAAUGGUUAGGAUAAAUAAUGAUCUCCAAGACCAAACGAUAAAGAUCACUAUUGUCGAGAAUGCGCGCGCGCACAGACACACACGCAGAGAGGGAGGGAGGGAGGGAGCGAACCUUGACAGCCAUUCGAUGUAUAUGGAUUCCCAUUAAAGCCUGGCAUACAUUUGCCUCCUGACAGGUCAGAUUGGCAGCAGCCCAUUGCACAGAGGAUGGUUCCCCCGAACCGAUAUAGCCCUUGUUUACUUGAGGUCCGAAUUGGCCUUUGUACAGUAAUUGGGCCACCUUUUGGGAGUUUUCAAGUAAACGGGCUGCUAAAGUUGGGUCCAAAUUCGGCCUAUGGAUGUCCCGAUUUCGGCCCAAACUUCGACACCUAUUACCACCGGCCGCGCGCAGAACCCUAGCACCGCCCCCAGUCCCUCUCCCUCUCCCCCUGCGCCGCUUUCCGAUCCCCUGCUGCUCUCCCUCUCCCCCGCCGCUCGCCCUAACCCCGCCGCUCUCCCCCUCCCCCGCGGCGGUCGCCCCCUCCCCCGCCACUCUCCGUCUCCCCCGCCGCUCACCUCGCCGCCUGCGCUCGAAUAGAGCACUGCAGCACCAGAUCUAGGACGUUCUCCGUCGGAUCCACCGCGGCCUGUCCCGGAUCCACCGUUCUUGACCCCGUCCGCGGCGAUGGACGACUUCAACGGCGACGGGAACGGCUCGGAGUUCCUCCCGGGCGGGUCCGGGUACCCCGGGGCCUUCAACGCCAGUGGAUCCAGAGUCCCCGCGGCCUUCCUCUCCGGUGGAUCCGGCCCGCCCGCGGGCUUCACAGCGGGCGGAUCCAGAGUCCCCGCGGGCUUCGUCGCCGGCGGAUCCGGGAACCCCCCAGCCUUCACCGCCGGCGAAUCCGGCAACCCCGCCGCCUCCAACAGCGGGGGAUACGGCGAUUCUUCGGGGGUGGACUUCGGCAGUGCCCCCGAGCACGAUGGCGGCCACCGCACAAGGACCUUCUUCUCCCUGGCGCCGCCGGGCGCAGGGACCGGAUCCUACAACCCCUACUCCUCCGGGCCGCAUCACAUGUCGUCGUCCACCGUGCCCACCCCAAGCCACCUGGGCAUGUCGGGCCUGAACCUCAACGCCUCCUCCGGGUGGGCGCACAUGGACGACUACGAAGGCAUCCUUCGCUCCGGCCACCAAGGCGCAACAGGCGGCAGCAGCCGGGCCCCCCGUCCCCGCUGAGAGGCUUCCGGCAGCGGUGGUCAGGCCGCGGCUCCCGGGCGUCGGCAACGGCGACCUACAGCCACGGGCCGCGGUUCCCUGCGUCGAGGCGCGGCUGAAGCAGUUGACGGCGACAACACUUCGGUACUUGCUACCUGUCCCCCUCUUUCCUUCCAUGAUCUGGUCAACUGGUUUGCAUGAAAUGUGUAGGAUAGUCAUGUGUGUAGGAUAGUCAUGGUUAAUGUCAAUAGGAGUUCAUGCAUUCCUGUUUUAAUUACAUUGUGCACAGAUUGCAUUGUUGUUUCAUGCAUUGCUGUUUCAAUUACAUUGUGCACAGACUGAGCCAACCAGGGCCAAGUGGACCAAAGAGGACACUCAGUUGUUUUGUGAGCUUUACUGCCAGCAGAUUGACUUGGGUAACUGCAAGAACGGGAACAUGAGCAAGUGGGGCUGGAUAGAUGUUAGGGAUAAGUUCCUAGAGGCCACUGGGAAGUUUAGAAACAGCGAGCAGUUUGGUUACAAGUACAGGCAGUUGAAGUCGAUGUGGACAUUCAUCGACCAUCUUCGCACCAAGUGCACAGGCUUGGGGCACAGAGAAGAUGGCUCUGUUGUUGCUUCUGACAAGUGGUGGGAGGAGAAGACAAGGGUAACUAAUCUGUCAAGCCUCAUUGUGUAAUUACAAUAGAUGUGUACUACCUUCUGAAGUUUAUGUGUGGGUUGUAUUUGCAUUGCAGGGGCACGCCGACUGGUAUGAGUUGAAGGAUGGAUGGCCAGAAUACAUUGACCAGAUGGACUGGAUGUUCAGUGGGGUUGCAGUGACUGGAGAGACCUCCUUUGUUCCAGGGGUCAACCGGCAGAUUAGCUUCAUCUCUAGUGGCGAGGAAGAUGACGCUGAAGCUGACGGUGGCACCCCUCUAAGCUGUGCGACCCCAGUCAGCACUGGGAGCAAGAGGAGCACCAGCAGCUUGCGCAGCACAGCUACAAGCCCCACCAAGAAGAACAAGGGCAGCACACCUCGCAACCAGACAAAUGUGAAGUCGUCUUAUGAUACAAUGAUAGCUGUAUUGGAAAGGGCGGUGGUCGAUAACAAAAAGGGCAUUGAUGAGGUACUAGAGAAGAGGAAAGAAGAAAGGGAGGCUAGGCAGGCACAGCAGGAACAAUCAAGGGAGGCUAUGCUGGCCCAGCUGCAACAAGCAAGGGAAGUUAGGAUGGCACAGCAGGUUCAUGGAAUGGAUGGUAAGAAAGAAGAGAAAGAAGAAAGGCGUGCUAGGAAAGAAGAACAGAAACAAGUUACAGAUGCAGCAAAAGAGCUUGGAGUGCACCUCAUGGACGGACAUCUAUGGAAUGGUGUGGUCAAGAUCUGCAUGCAUGACGAUCUACGCAACAUCUUCCUGUGCACACCUGAUGAAGCAAGGCUAUCCAUGAUCAAGCAAUAUGCUGCUACGGUCUAAUACCAGACCCUAACAUCCAUGCAUUGUUUAGUUAUUGUCCCUUUAGUACUGUUGGCAUGAUGGCCUGUCUUUUGUGUGUGAUGGUCAUGGCGUGUAGGUCAUUUCAGUUGUUGUGGUCAUUAUUUAAGCUGUGAUGAUGAACUAUGAGGAACUAUGUCAGCACAUGUUUAAUUACAAGAAUGGUUCUUUCCUUUAGUAAUGUUUAUUAUUAUUUCUGAAAAUGAUUGCCUCUGUGUGAGAUGAAUGAGUGUUUGAAUGGAGGUAGCAGGCUUUAGUAAUGUUGCUACAAACUGAAUUGAACUGACUGUGCCUGUCUUGUUUCCAAUACCCAGGAUGUUGAACCUUCUGAUGCUACAGAAGAUGAUGGGUCAGAAGGUCAAGCUGCACAAGAUGAAGCCGUCGAAGAUGAUGCUGCACAACCUGCUGCUGCAGAAGAAGAAGCCGCAGAAGAUGAAGCCUUACUACAUCUUGCCUUCCUAGAUGAAGACUUCGAAGAUGAAUGUUCAGAAGAUGAAUUUGACGAAGUGCUAGAACUUUACAACAGCUGGUGGGACGACUGGUUGUCCAUGGCUUGUCAACACGGUAUGUAUGCCUAUGAUAUUCAUGUGGACAAGUAUUGCAAUAGGCGGUCGUAUAGGAAUCCAGUCUUGACUGGGGAGCAAUGGGUACUGAACAAGCUUGACAAUGAUUCAGCCUGCUACAAUAUGUUUAGGAUGACCCCACACAUGUUUCAUAGGCUACAUGAUUUGUUGACAUCUCAGUAUGGUCUUAGAACAUCUAACAAAACCAGCACUAUUGAGGCUCUAGGAUUGUUCCUUUGGAUAUGUGGGGCACCGCAAUCAGUUAGGCAAGCAGAGGAUAGAUUCGAGAGAUCACUAGCCACUGUCCAUAGACUAUUUUACAAAGUCCUCAAUAGUCUAGUAGACUUAUCUGCCGACAUAAUUAAACCUCGUGACCCACACUUUAGAUCAAUGCAUCCUAGGCUGCAAAACAAUCGGUUCUACCCUGAAUUCAAGGGUUGCAUAGGAGCAAUAGAUGGCACUCACAUCCCUGUUGUUGUGCCUAGUGGAAAGUUUAUGCAGCACAUGUGUAGGAAGGGCAAGAUAACCCAGAAUGUCAUGGCUGCCUGUGACUUUGAUAUGGUCUUUACUUUUGUCCUUGCUGGGUGGCCGGGUUCAGUUCAUGACAUGAGGGUGUUUGACGAUGCAAUGACAACUUACAGAGACCACUUCCCAAUGCCACCUAGAGGUACACAGCCCUGUUUCCCACUCAUUACUGUUUUCUAAUUGCACUAUCGUAAACUUACAGGUAUGUACUCUUCAUAUAGACAAAUACUACUUGGUGGACUCGGGGUAUGCAAACCGAACCGGCUUCCUGGCUCCGUACCGGCAGGCCAAGUAUCACAUCCAAGACUUCCAAAACGCGCCCGAACCUCAUACGGUAUGAAGGAGAUAUUCAACUUCGCACAUUCAUCUCUUAGAAAUGUGAUUGAAAGGGUGUUUGGAGUGUUGAAAAUGAAGUGGCGCAUAUUGUUGGACAUCCCGGCCUAUCCACCUAAAACACAGACAAUGAUAAUAUGUGCAUGCAUGGCGUUGCACAACUUUAUUAGGAUUAAUGGUGACUUUGAUAGUCACUUUGGUAUAGUAGACAACAACAUAAAUUAUGUGCCUGUUGAAGGCACUCAGGAUUAGCCACAUACAAUUCCUGCGCCACAGAGCGCGGACAUGGCAAGCAUGAAUGCAUUCCGAGACAUGCUUGCUGAACAUUUGUUUGCUAGGUCUUGAAUAAUUUGUGAUUGAGGACAUGUCAUUGUUGAUGUACUUUGUCAUUCCAUGUAACAGUUUUCGAUCUUGUUACUGUACCGGGUUGUGACUGUAAUAAUUUGGAACGGUGUUGUGACUGUAAUAAUUUGUUGAUGUACUUGAGAUAUUUUCGUUGAAGGUUUGCUGUUGAAAAUGCGAUUGUGUUCUCCCCCUGAGCUGUUCAUGCGUUUUUUGCAUGUGUGCAUGCAUGGGCCAUGCAUAGAUGUGCUGGGUUUAAAUGCUCAAACAGUGAACUCCAAAGUUUCUGAAAUUGGGAGCAACAAAAUUCUGUACAAAGGCACAAAUUCAGGCCAAACAGUAACUCCCAAGUUGGGAGGUCCCAACUUGAGCAAGUAAACAAGGGCAUAGAGGGGGUUCCUUUGGUCCAGAUCGGGCGUGGGCUGAAGAUUCAUGGACUCUGUCGUCCUCAUCAGUCGUCAGGCGGGUGCGGGUGGCCGUCAUGCUGGAGGCCGGACGGCGAGUGUUCGCCGGUCGACGGCGCGGGAUACCUCACCGCUUCAUCGUUGCAAGACAUGCUCGCCCGAAAAGUAGGCCCGGGCAGGGAGAUUGGCCGGCCGGCUGGCUUCGGCAGCUGCGCGAGGUGGCCGGCCGUCGGCAAGCACUUCAAAUAUGAGCUCAGCAGCAGGGCGAACCAUGAAGCUAGAAAAAGGCCAAGCAGACGAGCGUCUCCAAAGAUCUCAAAUCACGAAUCACGGCCGGGUUAGGGGAUGCGAUCGAGAAAAAAUGCGUUGGAUUAGGGAGAAAUUAAAGGCCGAGUUCGAUUUUAUUUUGGGAAGAGGGAGGACUCCAAUCGGACCGAAUGGAGAAUCGGACAUGUGUCAUCACCAAGGAACGUGCAAAGAGUCAUUGGCAGUUGGCACUGCCGGCGCGGCGGCGGUGGCUACACACUGACCGGAGAAGUCGACUCCGGUACGGGCGCGCGGCCACCACCUCGAGGAGAGCCGAAUUCCUCGGGUGCUGGGGCGCCCUUACUUUCAGUUGCGCUCGGCAAGCCACGUGCCUUGGAGUGCGGUGGCGCCGGUGCCGUCGCCGCUCCAUCGCCGUCCGCACGCGCGGCCCGUGGCUACAUCUUCAAUCGGCGGCGAACAGCAUCCCCGAACGAACUAUGGCCACGGGCGCCAAGUGUGGGGCGGUGCGUGAACCUGGCGGAAGCAAUGCCCGGACGCGACCUCGCCGGUCCCGAUGCCGCCGCUGGCGAAAUAUUUUCAGGAAGACCCCUGGAUCGCGAUUAAAAUUUACGCAUAACCCCCUAAUUUGGAUCGCGAUCAAUACUUGUGAUCCGAUUAUUUGCAAUUAGAACCCUAGAUUUUGCAUAUAGCUCCCUGGUUGCGUUCCUCUGCUUACGGCUUACCACCGUCUUCCCCGGCGGAAUCGAGCAGCCCCGUCGCCCCGUCCCGGCUACCAGUCCCUCGCUCAAUCAAGGCCGCACCGGAGCUGCAGCCAUGCGGGCAGGCCGAAAAAGCGGCGGCGAGCGUCCGCCGGCCGACGGCGCGGGAGACCUCCGCUGCAUCGUUCAAGCUCGCCCGAUCAGUAGGCUCGGGCAGGGAGACUGGCCGGCCAGCUGUCUUCGGCAGCUGUGCGCGGUGGCUGCCGGCUCGAGCCACGUCGCCGUCUUCGCCGCCGGCGCCCACCUGCCUCCUGCUCCAGGUUUGCAACUAAUAGCGCAGGUCCCAGCGAACGAUGGAUCGGAGAGCAUGUUUUGCCGCAUGUUCAUGGUUCAGAGUUGAGAGACUGCAGUAGCAUUGCAGCAUCAGACAACUCCUAAUUUCAGUGGAAAUUAAUUUAAAAAUCAAACCUCCUCUGCGUAUGGAAGUUCAUCGUUACUCUGUUUCAGAGUUGAGAUUAGCCAUGCAUUCAAGCAUCAGGCGCUCCUAUUUUCAGUAGUAGAAGUUAAAUUAGAUUCAAACCAUGUUUAUUGCUGCCGUUUGUGUUGAGAUCGAUGAUGGAUCUUUGUGCCUGAAUCUACAGACUUAUGCUGGAAGGAACAGACUGUUACUUUGCAACUUCCUCUGCCUAUAUGAAAGUUACUGAACCGAAUGCGAUUAACAGCUUGCGAAAACGAAGUGAAUUCAUGCACAAUCUACGUAUCUAUUGUUUGGAGAGACAAGUAUUGCACUGAUCUUUUUACCUGCCGAUGUUUACUGCUAAAGGCCAUUCAGUGGAUGUUCUUGCCCAUCAAGUACUCCUGACACUGCAGCUGAACAGCGAGCACUGCAGCAAACUCCGUGUUCGACGACGCGAUGCCACGCUGUGCGGGGGAACUCCGGGUCUCCGGCGCCUACGCCACGCUCGCACGGCAGCCGCGCCACGUUCUGCUCUCUCGGGGGAAAGGCCGGCCUGCCCGGGAGUGCACCGGCGGCGGAGCCGUCGCCGCGCCACCGCCGCCUCCAUGGCCGCGCGCAGCGCGGGCGCGGCCGAGCGUGGGGCCGGGGGCUACAUCAGAUGAUCACUGCCGUUUGCGUUGAGGCUGGUGAUGGAUCUUGUGCCUGAAUCUACAGAUGUAGUGCUGCGAGUACAUCAGACCAGGAACCUUCAGAUUUCAGGGAUCGGUAAGACAAAUUGCAGAAACUGACAGCGGGUAGUAAGACAAAUUGCAGAAACAGAUUUGUUAUACCUCUAAAGUUUUUGUUUUUUCAUUUUGGGUACACGCACUCUGCGCAGUUCAGUUAAACGGCAACUACAUAUGCAGAGCACUAGAGCUACGCUAGUGUUAGUUGGAGUGUCAUUCAAGAAGGCACUUGGCCGCAAAUUGAGGUGAGCAUGGCUCGGCCUUUUUUUUCCAUUCCAAAGUGAUGUCAUCAAAACAAUAACGUGUGAUGUUCUUUGGCAAAAAAAAAAGGAAAGGAUUCACGUGACAGUUUGAAAAAGGCAGCGAUUCGGCAUAAUCCGGUAUGCAAAUUCAAAUUGCCAAUUGGUUUGAAGCGCGGGGACCAGUACGGACUUUUAAAUAGUGAAAACAAAGAGCAAAUUUGAAUAUGAACCUAGACUUCAAGGCUGAGGCCGGCCGGCCGCCGGCAGGCGUGCUCAUGCACAUUCCUGAUCGUUGGUCCUUCGCCAGGCAAAGCAGCGAACACGGAACACCUGGUGCCCGACCGCCGGCGACAAGCCUAACGAGGCAGCAAGCGAGCGAAGACGAUGCCAUUGGGGUCAGCCGUGUGUCGCGUGUGUACCUUCCCUGUGCGGACGCGCUGCGCGCGGCCAUGGAGGCGAGUGCGUGGCGAAGACGAAGGCGAACGUUAUCCCGGCGUGCGCGCGCCACCUGAGUCACGUGGCGUCACGGCGGCGCACGCGAGCAGGGUUAGGUGAUGGCGCGUGGCACCACAGCGCGCACAGGUUAGAUGCGCGCGUCGACGGGCGACACCGGGUACAGCCGCAUGGACUCUGCGAUGGCGUCGUGGAGGUCGUAGCGCAUGUCGCGCAUCGGCGUAUGCGAUGCAUGCAGCCGGUCCAAUCUGAACGGAGACGCGUCCUCUCGUCGCUCGCGGCGAAGCUCGACAGGACGCAGGAAGUCGACGCUUACUGGCAGGCCGGCGCGGCUGUGCUCCGGCGAGCCACGGCAUGCAGCGGAGGUGGCGUUGCUGCGACGACCAGGGUCCAGGGGACGGGUGGACGGUAUUUCAAAUACCGUCCGCCCCCUGGGUCACUUUAUGCCGUUGGAUCGAGCACGUGCGGUCCGGAUCGGGCGAGGUCUGCACAGGCAGGGGCACGGUCGUCCUGGUUAGUCGUCAGGCAGGCGCGAUGCUGGAGGCCGGACGGGGACGGCGGCGGCACGGCGGGUGUGCUCGGGCUCGGCGGCGAGUGACCGCCGGUCGACGACGCGGCGAGACCUUGCCGGCCGCUUCAUCGUUUGAGAGAAGCUGGCCCGAUCAGGUCUGGGCAAAGCGUGUCCAUGGCCCCGGGCACGGAGAUGGCCAGCCAGCCGGCUCCGCCAGAUUGCCGCACGCGGCCGCCGUCUCGAACCACGUCGCCGUUUUCGCCGGCGGCGACCUGCCUCCUUGUCCAAGCUUGCAACGCAGGGUCCAGGGCGAUGGAUCAGAGAAUGUGGCAGCCUGACAGACAGCAGCAAAGACAGAGUGUUUUGCAUGUACGUAGUUCAGAGUUUGGGAUUGGCUGCACUGCAGCAUCAGACACUUCAAAUUUCAGUAAAAGCUAUAUUAAGCCAUACUUAUCGCUACCUUUUUGCGUUGAGGCCGAUGAUGGAUCAUCUUUGUGCCUGAAUCCACAGUUGUAGUACCAGGGCAGGAUGUCAAAACUUGCUGCGAGAAAUGCAGUCCAGGAACACAGAGCCUUCAGAUUUGAGAUCAUAGACUGUUAACACAAAUCAGAGCAACUGACAGUGGGUGGUAACAUCUCAAGAAAAGACAGUAAAAUACAUUGUGCUCGCAGCCUCGCACUAGUGCAGCAGGAGAUGGCGGAAUUUGUGAAUUUGCAGGACUUGGUCCAAACUGUCCAGCUAAAUGAUCAGGAAGAUGACAGGAUAUUUUGGAAAUGGACGACAAAUGGAAAAUACACGUCCAAAUCAGCGUAUCAAGCACAGCUGAAAGGAAUGUACUGUUCAUUUUCCAGCAAUAGCAUUUGGACUGCACAUGUGGAAAAUAAACACAGGAGAAAGGGUAUUAACAGCGGACAAGAUGAUGCAAAAAACUGGGAGUGUGAACCAACAUGCAAGCUUUGUGACCAAGAAAACGAAACGGCUCUGCACUUGUGCCUCACCUGCUCCUAUGGAUGUUGGUGUCCAACUGGACGGGAAGGAAGGUUCCCAUUCCUGGAGAUGGGUAUGAAUCAACCGAGCAAUGGUGGACACAAACAAUGGCCAAUAUCAGUAGGAAGCAGCGGAGAUCAUUGGCGGCCUACUGCAUCAUAACGGCAUGGAAUAUAUGGAAUGAGCGCAACAGGAGGAUCUUUGAAAAUAAAUUCCUAUCGCCUAUGCAGCUGCUUCUUCGCAUUCAGGAGGACAUAAACAUCAGGAAGCAAGCGUGCGGGAAGCCUGGGUUGGAAUAGAGUCUCUUUAGUUUUUUUUCAUGAAUGAGUCAUUUGAGCCUGUAUCUUUUUAUAUAUCAUCGACUUAACUGUAACCGCAAACUUCUACCUCCUUAUAUGAAUUAGCAGCACUCCUGCUCCUUUUCAAAAAAAAAUUCGUUUUCCAUUUUGUGUACAGUCAUGAGUUAAACGGCAACUGCAACUGUGUGCAAACAAUGUUGUUGUCACGAGGAUACAAAUGCGAGCGGUUGUUUGGUUUCCCGGAAAUUUGCGACAGCGGAUUUAUAUUUGUUGAUGCGCAUAUGCAUGCCAUCCUGAGAUCACGAGGAAGGAUGACAGGGCCGGCGACACUCUCUUCUCUCCAGAACUUGUGAGGUGAGCAAGCAGAUCCGUUGGUAGACCCGAUGCCGGCCGACCAAAGUGGCCUCCCGCUGCACGAAGGGCUGACGUCAAGUACAUGCCGCCCCUGGCCUUCCCGCUGUACCAAAGGGCUGACGACCCCAGGCCUGGUCCUUGCUUGCUCUGGCCGAUGAAUCCGCUGCCGAUCUUGUUUGUCUGAAUCUUGACAGCGAUGCACCGGCGAGAGUGGUCAGUGGUCACAGCGUGAGCAGCCAACCCUCGUCUCAGCCAUACGAAUUCCUGCCCCACCUAUCCAUCCAUCAAGUUAUCAGGAUCGGCCUGAAUGUUGCUACAGUCCCGGUGGCUUUUCUCCUUUUUUGAUUCUCUAGUGAUGGAGCCUCAGAUUUGCGCGUGCUACCCUGUAUCACUUUGUCUGAAUGGACAGGCGGCAACCUCCGCGACACUACAGUUUACAGCACGUGUCGUAUUUUUUUUUUUUGGAACUAGCUUCUUCAUUCAUUCAGAAUCCAGAUUACAAUCCUCUUGUUCUUGUAGAGGUCGCAACAAGAAGCUAGGGGGUUCUCUAUCCAAACUUCAGUACUACUAGAACUAGCAUGCUUAGCACAAACAUGGGCGACAACAUUAGACGAUGAACCAUAUUAAAAGAGGUAAAAGACGUCACGACUUCCUGAAUCUCACGCAAAAUCGUUGCAAUCUCCGAUCUGUGGUUGUGUUCGGCCAGUCCUCCAGCUCUGAAGAAAACUGAGGGCAACAACCACGGAAUGCUGGAACUGCAGGUAAAUAUUUGACACGACGAGCACAGUCACGGCUUCAUAUCAUAACAGUCACGCCGUCCAACCACCUGGCGAGAAUCAGAACCACAAUGCCACACAGCAAAUCACAACCAACCAGAUCAGGCAUCUCAUUCUUUCCAACUAAACCACCUGUAGGGAACUAUCAAAACGAUGAGCCGCCAAGAUGCUUUGCUCUCUGCCAGCAAUCUGUCGACCGCUGAAGGGCCAGAAGAGCUAGCUGAAGCACGUAAAAGGACCGACAAAAAAUGCAGGAAAAAAAAGUCAGUGACUCAGUUCGCAAAGAAUGAGAAUUGCAGUAGACUGCAGCAAGGAACACAGAAGCGGGACAAAACAUGAAACUAUUAUUUCCAAAGACGCAAAGCUCAUCUAUGCAACCAAACCGACUAAACACAGCAAAAUUACAACCGAACCGUUCAUAUUCUUCACAACCAGAAACUAAACUCAGGUCCCAUAUUAGCAACUUCGUUACAUGAAGGUAGCAAGCAGGUAGGAAAAGCAAAAGGCAACUCAUGUCCCAACUUAGCAUGAAUCCUGGCGUCCGGAGGCACACCAUUUCACAUUUUAUUCUCUGCAUAGACAAGCAGCGGGGCCGUUCCACGACCGCAAAGGCCACGGGAAGGAACCAUGGAGCGGAGAUGACGCUCUACUGGGUCUUGAACAUGUGGCGGAUCAGGUCAACAACGCGGUUGCUGUAGCCCCACUCGUUGUCGUACCAGGAGACGAGCUUGACGAAGUUGUCGUUCAGAGCGAUUCCAGCCUUGGCGUCGAAGAUGCUCGACCUAAGUGGAAACAAUGAAACAGGAAAAAAAAUGAAUAACACAGCACAGGAACAAAACAACAUUCACUAGAAUUCAUCGUAGCACUAUAGUGGUGUGCCCUAGAAUAUCCGCUGGUUCCUAGAACUUGGAGGACCCAAAGCAAAUUUCGUGUACCUGCUGUCACCAGUGAAGUCAGUGGAAACCAAAUCCUCGUCCGUGUAACCCAUGAUACCCUUGAGUGGCCCCUCAGACGCAGCCCUGUAAAACAAUAACAAUCAAAUUAACAACAUUUCACAAAUCCCCAACCAAGAAGAAUGCAAGAUACAUGGACUCCAUGUCAAACAUGGCAACAGAUUAUCAUUCCAGACAAGAAAUGUAAAUACAUUGAUAAAUUAAUUUAAAACAAUAAACAAGAGACUUACUUGAUAGCCUUCUUAAUGUCCUCAUAGGAGGCACCCUUCUGGAGUCUAACGGUGAGGUCAACAACUGACACAUCCACGGUGGGAACACGGAAGGACAUACCAGUGAGCUUGCCGUUCAAUUCAGGAAGAACCUUACCAACAGCCUGCAGUAAAUUAAUAUACAAGUUAGAUGCAGAAUCACAAUUAAACUUAUAAGAAUAUAGAAUGGUUGCCAACUUUACACUAAGCAGAACCAAAGUUAAUAAUGAAGCCUUUUAACACAUGAUUCCAAGGUAUUUGCAUGCUCAUUGAUGUGAUUUAGGCUCAGAUACAUAAAUUAGUUCACAAAGCUAUGUAUAAACCCAAAACAGAGAAAUAAGCUAUCAAGUUUCUAUCACAAAUUAUCAGCUAGCCUAGCAGGUCAAAACAGUUUGCACAAACAAAAGACUACAGAAGAACUAGGAAAUACAGGCUCACUGUAUACAACAUUG